UAGCCGACCAUCACCUGCUGCUUGCCGUUGAUGUGGUUGAUGUACCAGUCAGUGGAGAAGAGCUUCUCCACGGACGCCGGCGCCGCCUGCAGGUCGGCCAGCCUCUCGAACAGCGGCACCACGGGGAGCGUCUGGCGAAUGCCACACUCGCGCUGCAGGAGCUCGACGGCGAGCACGUCCGAGGGCGCCGUGCACAUGGAGAUGAUGUAGGGGCCGAAGCUGUCGAUCGGGAGCUCGGCCAGGACGCGCAUGGCGCCGAUGACGUCGGCGAUCUCCUCGGUCAUGGGAAGGUCCGGGGGCAGCAGUGGGCGCUUGCCUUUCAGCUCCGACACCAGCCACUCCAUCCGCUUGUCCUCGGGCCACGAGCGGUACGACCCGAUGCCGAGGUGCGUGGUGAUGGCGUCGAUCACGUCGGUGUGCCGCUCCGACUCCUGCCGGAUGUCCAGCUUCACCAGGGAGAGACCGAACGCGAACACCUGGCGAAGGAGGUCCAGGAGGCUCCCGUCGGCGAUGGCCUUGUCGCCGCACUCACACAGGGAUUUGUAGCACAGCUCAAGGGGCUCAAGGAACUGCACGCAUGAGAUGCAUUUUUUUUUGUGCGACAGUAAGAAUCAGACCGAAAUGUACUAGUACAUCAUAUUAUUGAUUGAUCGCUUAAAUCACAUUUCAGUUUCACAAAAGGAAUAAAAUUAAGGAACUUGCCGAUUUAUUUACCUCUUCGAUCUUGGUAAAUACCGCGUCCUCAGAAAUUUCAGAAAAUCCAGUUGCCAGCAGAUGGCGUGCACGCUCGCGUGUGUUGUAUAACUUGUCCCUUACAGCACCAAGGAUCACCCGGUAGGGCUCGUUUGGGGGAAUUUGCUUCCAGAAUUCUGCGCCAGCAUCAAAUACUCUUAUUCAGAAAAAUUGGCAAACUGACACACGUACGGCUAAUUAACACGGGGCAACAUUGUUGAAAUCAAAUUUGAAAAGACUAGUGGAGACUUUGCAAAAGCCUGUGCACGCAACCACAAUCUGCAACUUGUCCUAGUGCCGUGGGUUCUCCUAUUUUUAUCAUUCAAUAUUUAGAAAAAAAUUUCUCUACCAAAUGCCUCCCUAAUGAGAAUUCCCAUAAUUAGUGGUAGUAUUUUACUACUACUUAAAACAUUAGGAGAACUCUAUUAUUUUUGCUAGUGGCGGCAGACGAAUCUAUGAGGAGGUACGAACAAGCAAUAGCUAAACAACAAUCUGCAUCUCUAAAAACGCUUAUUAGCUAAUUCAGUCUCUCUUUUUUUUCGUGAAUACCUAAUUCAGUCUCUUUAAAUAAAUAAAUUCUUCUGUUUGUAGUUACCUAUGUAAUACUUGGUAACUUUCUUUGAAGCUGGAGUACUCUGGACUUCUUCGGCUCGAGCACGAAGCUCAUCAUUGCAGCGCCACAUAGAGAGCUAGAGACAUAUAUCAGAUGAGAGUAUUGUUAUGGAUCGGAGGCACCAAAAAAACGGCAAGCCAAAAAAAUGAGCAUUACAAAGCAUUCAAUCAAACACAUUUGUUCAGUACCUCAAACAUCAGGUCUUCGACCUGAUUGAUGUACAAGUUUGCAGCCAUCAUUCUAGACAGCAAGCACACAUCUCUUGUCACCUCCGGAGUAACUCUUGGAUUUCCUACAGUGAUAAAAAUGCAAAGAUAUACAGACUUAACAACAUCAAACAUUAGCAUCAAUACUAUAGAACAUUAAAUUAUUAAUAAAAUAGAAUGACACCGCCAUCUAGUUUAUCUUUUUUUUUAGAAAACAAAAUUGGGCUCGAAUUUUGAUAGGAGAAGUGUUGAAAAGUAAAAAUAUGAAUCUAAAUCAGUCCUUUGCAAAAAAAUAAUUAACAAGUUUGUGAUAAUUGGAUAUAGACUACAUAGUAUCUAUUAUGUCUAUUUUAGAAAAUAAACAAAGAGCAAAACAUAUAAUUCAAUAUAAAUAAUUCUUUACUAGUCAGAUGUAUUAAACAAUAUAUAUUUUAAAAUUCUAGCUCGUGGGAAUGUUUUUCUCUUAGGCCCUGUUUUGCUACCCAAAAUUUUUUCAUCCAUCCCAUCGAAUCUUUGGACACAUGCAUGGAACAUUAAAUGUACAUAAAAAAAUAAACUAAUUACACAGUUUGGUUAAAAAUCGCGAGACGAAUCUUUUAAGCCUAGUUACUCUAUGAUUAGCCUUAAGUGCUACAGUAACUCACAUGUGCUAAUGACAGAUUAAUUAUGCUUAAUAGAUUUGUCUUGCAGUUUCCUGAUGAGCUAUGUAAUUUGUUUUUUAUUAGUUUCUAAAGACCCCUCCCGACAUUCUUCCAACAUAUCCGAUGUGACACCCAAAAAAUUUUCAUCCCCAAUCUAAACAGGGCCUUAAUUGAAAGAUAGAGAGCUCCUGCCACUUUGUUAAAAAAAAAGUAAGUGGAAAUAUACCAUCACGGUCACCACCCAUCCAAGAACAGAACUUAAUGAGAGGAACAUCGUAGGGAAGGCGCUCAUUGAUGCCGAUAUUCUUCAGGGCUGUAUCCACACGGCGCAAAAACUUAGGCACACCGUUCCAUACAGUUUCAUGGAUGUAGCUCAUCCCAUAGCGCAUUUCAUCCUGUGGGGUGGGUUGUGCUCUCCUGAUUUCAUCAGUUCUGAAAGCUGCUUGGAUCUGUGUACAUCCAACAAAACAAAUUAGAACUAAACAACCAAAAUAAAUUGAUAGAUACAGUGAAGGUAACGACAGAAUUCAAUCUAAUCAUAACAAAAAACAUGGUACACAAGAGAGGGAACACUGUAAGUUUUGUUUUUCAUUUUUUUUGAAAUCAGGAAACAUUUAAAGUUUGUAUCACAGACUCUUUACAGAUGGUGCAAAAUGUUAUUGUGUAGGCCUAAUAACAAACUGCAUAUUGAGUUUUCAGUCACCUUUCUAUGUUUCUUAUAUUAAACUAAUGGUACUUGUUUAAUGUAAAUAGUGAAUUUUGUUCUGACAAGAUCACAAUGCGUUCUCAGUUUGACAUGGUCUAGUCUGAAGGUUUUCUUUUGUUGAAAGUUCUGUAUAAUUAUUCAAGAAAAUCAUACAUCCUUGUUUAUGUAGAUGACCUAAAUAAAAAUGUUGGUUCUUGUGGAACAGGUUUACUUCUAAGUAUCUCAUAUUUUUGCAUAUAAUUCGAUCUCUCUCUCGAUAGAGUGUCUAUAUUUUUCCAACGGCGUACCAAACAGAGUGAAAGGACAUGGGGAUUAGCUACCAAUAAAACAUGGACAAUUACUAAAACACCCUUAAUUCCAUAGAGUGGGAAAAAAUAUGACUCUUCAUAAAAUUUUAAUUAUAGUGUAAAGAGAAAAAUCAGGCUCGUUCUGAUUCGUGUAAUGAUUACCUAGGGAAUAGGAUAAUGUGACAUUCUUAAAUGUUAGCAAUGUUUUAAAUGAUUCUUCGUGCUCAUUCAUAUAUAUAGAGUGAAGAAGGCUUGUGCUCUCGUGAAGUGCAGCCAGACACCUCACACAAACAUAUAUAUUGACAUAUCAAUUGAGGAUUAAUUUCUCUGGCCCACUUAGUUACACGUGUGUCGUGCCCAAUGUCUUAAGCUCAUGAGUCCACUUCUAUUCUAUCUCUAUCAAAGAAAAAAUGUAACGACGACGCAAAAAGAGAUAGACACUUUGACAGGACAGUGAUUGAAAAACUUUUACGAGAAUGGCUCAAACGGUUUUCGAAUUUGCAGGAAAAUCGUGUAAAAGUGUGUAUAUCCGAGGCUAGCUCUUGAUAAAUAAAGUUAUUAUAUUCCCAGAUGUGUGAAAUGCAUGUAUGCAUGUACGUACCUCUCUGUGCAGAGCCUCGUCGAGCUCCUUCUUGUCUUCGACCGUGACGUCCUUGGCACUCAGCUGCGUCAGACAAUUCCGGAUCCUGCAACGACGACAAGAGAUCAACAUUUUUGAUCCAGAAAUCCAAGGGAUUUGGACGCGGAUUAAUUGCAGAAUGAGAUCGAGUCGUAGUAUACCUGGCGUUUUUCUGCAGGAGCGACCUCCUGGCGGACUGCGUGGGAUGCGCGGUGAAGACGAGGUCGACGCUCUGGUUCUUGAGCGCCUCGAACACCUCCGCGGGGGUCUUGCCGAGCGACACGAGGCGCUUGAGCGUCUCCUCGAUGUCGGACUCGGUGGUGGCGGAGCCCUCGUCGGAGAAGUCCCCGUGCUUGAGCUUGCUGUUCCGGCGGCGGUGCGCCAGCUCCACUUCCUCCGCCAGGUUGGCGAGGUUGAGCAUGUGCAGGAUGGAGCUCGCCACCAGGAUGGCGUCGGCGGGGGCCAGCCCCGUCAGCUUGGCUCCCAGCUCCCCCAGCUUGGACGUGUCUUUCUUGCCCUCGUAGUCGGCCGACACCUCGUAGCACUCCUGGACCUGCAUGCAUCGCAUUUGGGUAUAUAUAUAUAUAUAGUAAGCACCGGAUUCGAGACGUAUAGACUAUAGAGAGGUGAGCUGAUGAUGCUCUCAGCUCGAUCUGCUACGUACAAAUUCGCGAAGGCUGGGGCCAUGGAGGUCCUGGAGGAUGUCGAGGAAGCGGUCGACGAGCAGGGCGUCAUACUGGAUGAGCUCCUCGGAGACCUUGCCGGGUGCGAGGGCACGGAGCUGCGCGUCGAUGGAGUGGUGCCGCUCGGACGCCAUGGCGGCGGCGGCCGGGGAGUGGGCCGGGAAGCGCGAACGAAGCUGGAGAUGGUUGGAGCGCGGCGCGGCGUGUUGCUCGUGCUGCUCCUCUGCUGCGAGUUGAUUGAUCAAUGCAGGGCGCCGGCCGGUGGCUUCAAAUAGGGAUGGGGAGUUGGCGAGUGUGUGGUCGGCGUGUGCACGCGGGAUUGGAAAGGCAUGCAUGUGAUCGGCGGUAAGGGUAGCCGAGAGCUGCGCGCGGCUGUGGCUACGCUGCUUUUGGCUGGGAUCGCUGCUGUGGACGUACUUUGUCACUGCGCACUUGCCUGCUUGUGUUAUUCCGCUGGCUAAUUGCCUGUUUGCAGGACGUGGAGAGGGGUGUCUGCUAGUGCUAGCUAGUGGUAAGGAUGGGGACGACGCUUCAAAUAACUCCUCGUGGUUCUUCUCUAGUCUAACUAAACGAACUAAAUUAAAAAAAUAAGAAAGAAAUUGUUUAUUUAGUUUAUUAAGUUAGACUAGAGAAAAACCGCGCAAGUAUCCAUUUAGAGUACCAUCUUCAUUCUUAGCUAGUGGUAACCGCAAAGGGGACCGGGAGAGCUGCGGCCGCACCUUGCUCCUGGAUCGUUUUUGGCUUGGCUUUGCUGCUGUUGACGUGCUUUGUCACUGCUCACCUGCCUUCUUGUGUUAUUCGGUUGGCUGAUGGGUUUGCAGGAUGGGGAGAGGGGUGUCUGUUUGCAGUCAAGGCCGGAUUCUGGGGAUCGGUAGAAUUUGGAGGUUUGCUUGCACGCGAUGUGGAGAGAGGUGUCUGUUAGCAACGGAGGAUGCAUGGCGCUGGAGGAAGGCUUUGCAGGGUGUGGAGGAGAGGGUGCCUGUUAUCCAGUAAUGUUAAUGUUAGGAACAUAGAUGUCCUAUAUCCAUGUAAAUUGUGGAAACAGAACUUAAUUUCCUUAGGAGACCGGGAAACAAAAAAUGAACUUGUGGUUAAGGAUAUGGACUAUAAUUUUGUGGUUCAAAGAAAGGUAUUGGUAUACAUGGCUGCCGUAGGGAUAAGGGUCAUACAUGGCUGCCGUAGGGAUAAGGGUGUUGUUACUCUACCAAGGGCACCAUACAGGUGGCUGCACAGCAUUCAGGCGCUGCCAAAUCUAGCGCGCACAUCACUGGGUCAAGCCGACACAGAUUUGGACAAUACGAUGUGUAGCAGCUGGUGGUGGUGAAGAUAUGCGGAUUUAAGAGAGAGGUGGAUUUGGGUUGGGAGGAGCAACUUGCAUCGUCGUGGAUCUCCACACAAAAAAGAAGAAUUGGAAAUGUAUAAUACUAUACAUAUGCUUAAAUGAAAGUAUUUACUGAAUUGUGGAUCGAUGCAUUAAUUGUCAUCACAAGUGAAAAUUAGGUAAUAAUGAGUACUAGUUAAUAGUUGAGCACGGAAAAAGCAUCGAAUUUUGACCUUGCAUUUAGUACCACACCACAUCUCCUAACUCCUUAUUACAUGUCCCGAUCCUCAGCUUGCUGUCAACAUGUAUUAGUCGAGUAGGUCGAGAUCUGGAUCAACCAUGGCAAUAUAGAAUUCCCAAUUUCCCAUAUAUGCAAAAAGUAGCACUGCAAAUGUCCACUUUCAAUAGCAGUAGUUGUCACGUAUGAGUGUAAGUGCAUCAAUGCUAUCAGUGAGUUUUGUUGAAAAGAUGAUGACGCAUAUAAAGAGGUAAUGAUGUUUCAUGAGAUUUUCAGUUAUACAUCGAUGUGAAAAAGUGCAAAAAGAAACAUGGGACCCCUCAAUUCUUACUUUAAAGAAAAAUGCGGCAUUGCGUUUUCAAAGAAACAUGGAAAAAGCAUCGAAUUUUGACCUUGCAUAUACUACCACACCACAUCUCCUAACGCCUUAUAUCUCUACAUCCCUAUCAACACGCAUGUGUGCAUUAGAUCGAGCAGGUGUCGAGAUCUGGAUCAGCCAUGGCAAGACAUAAUUCCCAAAUUAAUUAAUUCCCAUAUGCAAAUAUUAGCACUGCAAAAUGUUCUAUUCUAACAGUAGUUCGUUGUCACGUAUGAGCAAAGCAGCAAACUAAUCUGUCACUCCAUCAAUUAGACAUCUCAAAAACAAAAGGAUGAGAUUAAAGGAAAAGACUAUAUAUAUAUAUAUAUAUAUAUAUAUAUAUAUAUAUAUAUAUAUAUAUAUAUAUAUAUAUAUAUAUAUAUAAUUCCUUAUAUAAUAUUUUUUUAAACUCAUGAGAACAUGCAUGUUUGACUCGAGAACUUAAUUAGUAGUAGUAAUAGCAUGCGGAGCACAUAAUAUGGUCCUACGUUGCGAUCCCUUGAAGCUUGUUUCUUCGCCAACAUAAGCUAAACAAAAAUACCGGCAUGACAUUUGAAAUAAAGUUCACAUUUACUAAAAGAUGAUCUUUUGGAGCACGAAACAGUUGAAUUUUCGUGUGCAGGGGAACUGGAAAUUUAGAGCCACGCAUUUUCGACAUGGAGACAAUUUAUUAGUAGUGAAAAAUUAGAAUCUAUGAUAGUUAUAGUUAUUAUUAGGUGCUACUAUUUUAAUGAGUUCGUGAUGAUUCAAUUGAAUCUAUGGUAACACCUGUGAUGCUUUUCAACGUGGAUUACACGAUUAGUGAUUUGAUCAAUACAAUUUUAUGGUUUAGAAGAUUUUGGCCAUGAAGACUUGUGCAACAUAUAUUACAGAAAAUGAUUGUGGUUGAAACAGAAGAAAAAUUGUUGGCCAAGAAAUUUAUGAUAAUGAAGUAACUGAAUAGGAAGAAUUAUUUUGAUGGAUGAAAUAAAUUUUGGCACCAAGAAAUUGAAAAUAGACGUCAAAAACAACAUCCGUUCUUGGACAAAUGCACAGCUAUGAUUAGGGACAAAUAGAGAUCUCUAUCGGUCGAAGUAUUCGCGCGCUCCCAACUCUUGCGUCCCUUCUACGCAACCUCACGUCUCCUGCACCAUGUAUCAGUGAAAAACACACAACGACCACUUAUCGCUCCCAGCUCUUAUGUCCCUUCUACACAGCCUCACAUCUCAUACACCAUGUAUCAGAGAAAAACACACAAUGACCACUUAUCAGAGAGUAAAAAUAUGAGCGUCUAGAAGCUUCUACACUUGAGAGCUUAGACACGAACAAAACGAAGAAGCCUCUACACUUGUACUACAAGGAGUGCAAAAAUGGCCGACAAUUGUUAUACUGUUGGGCAUUUACUUGCACCGUCGGGAAGUGUAAUGCCCGAGCGUGUACCGUCGGGAACCUCACGUCGAGCAUCCAUGGUCGGGCAUUCCCCCUUUUACGGACGGGUAGUCGGUCAUUGUGUGGCCGACCGUAUGUUUCCGACGGUUAACGCUCAACAAUUAGUUUGUAAACACGCCAAAAAGACUUUGGUCGGACAUGAAUUGCCGAGGGUACCCUAGUCGGGGACUUGUUACUUGACAAUUUUUUAAAAUCCAUUGGCAAAUAUAUACAGUCUGAGUUUUGUUGAACGACGGCUUUUUAAAACCCAUCAGAAAAUAUAUCCGGUCAGGAAUGCAUUGCAUGACGGGUUUUUAAAACCCGUCGGGAAAUAUAUUCGGUCAGAGAUUUGUUGCAUGACAGUUUUUAAAACCCAUCGAAAAAUAUAAUCUGUUGGGGAUUUGUUGUACGACGGUUUUUUAACCCAUCGAGGAACAUAUUAGCAACGGUGUUUAUUAACCAUUAGGAAAUAUAAUCGGUUGGGGAUUUGUUGCAUGACGGUUAUUGAACCCCAUCGAGAAACAUAUUAGCAAUGGUGCUUGGGAUAUUUUAUAGCCAUAAAUAAUUAAUAUUUAACAAUGAAGAUCAAUUCUAGAUGUACAUUCACACUAUAACUCACGACAUUUCAUAACCAGCUCUACAAUAUUGCAUAGUACAAUGAAAGUUUGAAGCCCAAUGACAACUAAACAAAGGUACGAACAAGAGAUUCUUAAAGUUUCUAAGAACAUUCUUCAACAUAACAUAAGUUAAUGUUUAGACUAAAAUACUUGACUAAGAUGCUGCUAUUCACAAGGCAUAACAAAUACUACUUAAAAGUGCCACACACUUCAUAUGUUGUAUAGAAUCUUUUCUCAUCAAUAGGUGCCAUCAUCAUCAUAACCAUGGUUCACAUAAUAUUUGCCAUCAUCUUGGGAACGAUAGACUUCAUCUUCAUAAUCAUAGGUAUCAUCCUCACUGUCAUCACCACUAUAGUUUUCUCCACCAAUGUUAUCCUACAGAAGUUGUAAAAUUAUUUCUAUAAACAUAUGAACUAACUUGAAUACAUAUAAGAUAGAUUUUAUAAUACUUAACUUGAAUACAUAUAAGAUAGAUCUUAUAAUACUUUGGCAUGAAUAUGCAACACAAAUAAUACUUACAUGUUCAGAUGCAUUAGGAACAGUUUUCUUAUGCUCUAUAGAGAAUGCAACCUCGGAUUCAGAAGUAGGUUGCAUGUCAUUGUUGACGGUCCUUAAUGCUCACAUUUAACCGUCAACUAAUCAUGGAAAAGGACCUAUAUGCAACCAACAUCCAAAAUUAGGGUUUCAUCUGACAGAAUUUCACGAGUUUUGGUGUUUGUCUAUUUCUGCAGGGGGUUAUGAGGAAAUAUGGAGGAAAGGUCCACACAUCGGGUUUACAUAGAGAUAUUAACGUGCACCGUAAUUAUCCAACAUCUAGAAGAGUCGAGAAGCCACGGGAACGAGCGGAUGGCCGAGCGGGCCCGGGGGCUGGGCGCCCGACCUCCCUCAUAGGGCGCCGCCCUGCUACAGGAGCCAAUCAGGCUCCGCCUCGCGGAUUAUGCUCCACCGACCGAACGAAUUAAGGAAAACCGUGCGAUUAAGGUCGGUUUGAUCCGACGGGCCAUGUUCAUUUGGAAGGGCUAUAUAAGCAGGCCCCCUGGCCCCUGGAGAGGAUAUUUCUUCUACACAAUCAAAGCUAGGGUUUCAAUUAUUCAUCCAAGUAGAGAGGAUCCCUCUAGUUCAUCUAGUUCUAGUUCUAGUUCAUCUAGUUCUAGUUCUAGUUAGUUCUAGUUGUAAUCUAGAAAAUAGGGAGAGAGAAGAGGAGAGCGGAGGAGGAGCCGGAUCUGUCGGAUCUUCCUCAACAUUAUACUUUUGCAGCAAUUGGUUUGUUCUUCAUCGUUGUCCAAGUUCUUCAAUUCAUAAUUCCUGAGUUCUUUAAUUACUUUUAUUUACAUUCAAGUUAUUUAUUGGAUUUCUGCUAACAUCAAGUGCUCUAGUCUUUGCAAUGCUAGAGUAGUAAUUAAUAGAUUAGACGUGGUGUUUAGUCUUGCAAUUACCUAGAAUUACACCCAAUCCUGUGGAUUAUUGUGGUAGCUCUAGGGUAGUGACAGACCUAACGGUCGACGUAUUCCACCUCGUUCGGAUCGGUGUUUGUAGGACCAUAGUCAGAGCUUCCUAGCCCCCUUCUCAUCUCUUUCUGUGGUUAGUGUUCUGAUGUCCCGAAAUAAAUAAUCUUUGAAGUAAUUCUUUAUUCUUAGAUCAACUAGAGAACUCUCAGGAAACUUCCUCUCUUCCCACCAAAAAUAAUUAUAUAGUUAUCCUUGGGCGAUCUUGAAUCUUAAUUAGUACACUCAUGUUCCCUGUAGAAAAUCGAUACUCUAGAAUACUCCUGGAUGAAAGCUACAUCGGUAUCCGUGCGCUUGCGGAUUUUUUCUGUUUGCGUUUAAAAUACCCAACAAGCUUUCUGGCGCCAUUGCCGGGGAACGGUAGUUGUGCUAGUUUCGAACCAAGUCGUACGUGUAUCCUUUUUCUUUUCCUUUUUUUUACCACACUCACCUUACCAUUUUCACCAUACCACAUGGAUUUCACUCCUAUCUAUAAAUUAUUUGCUCCAAAGGGCGAGUUAUUAGAGCCACCACCAUCAUCACAUCCAAUUCUUACAGAUGGCUACGACCUCGGCCCUGAUCUAAUAGCCAUGAUUCAGGAGCAACCCUUCUCUGGGCAAGUAGAUGAAGAUCCAUACACCCACCUUAGAGAAUUCGAGCAGUUGUGCUCUUGCCGAUCUAUUUCCGGCAUGACACAAGAAACCCUUAAAUGGAAAUUAUUUCCAUUCUCCCUUUUGGGAAGAGCAAAAAAGUGGUAUGCUCAUUCUGUAGGAGGCGUUAAUGGAAAUUGGGAUGAACUUCAGGACAACUGUUGUCUCGCUUUCUUCCCACUUUUUCGAAUCGCUGACCUUAGAAUCAAAAUUCUUACAUUCAAACAAAGAGAGAAGGAAACUUUAGGAGCAGCUUGAGCUAGGUUCACAAGCCUUACCAAUUUCAGUCCAAACCUUUUCAUGCCUGACCAUGUACUAUACUACCACUUUUAUCGUGGUCUAAACAAGGAAGCUGCUCUUCACCUCGACAUUGCUUCAUGAGGCUCAUUCGCACACAAACUCAUAGAUGAGGGGAGAGCUAUCCUAGAGAGAAUCCUUGAAAAUAUCCCUUACACAGCCAUUUAUGAUGAGUUUCCUAAAGAAGAAAAAGAAGUCGAGCCUGAUCCUAAACCAAAAGAUGAGGAACUUGCAACCGAGUUAGAAAUUCCACCUGACCCAUCUAUUAAUUUGGUUGUAGAGAAACCUCCUGAUAAGGGAAUGCAAAACCAACUAAGGGAUAAUGAACCACCACCUUUAGAGCAUUCCUUUGAAUUCGAGGAAGAUCUUUUUGAAGAUUAUGGAAACGCCUCGAAUUUUCUUAUCCAAACACGACCUCUAGCAGGGACCACUCAAUCCGUUCUAAGAGUAGAAUCUGUUGACAUAGAACACAUCAAAUGCCUUUCGGCUAUUCUGAGUUAUGAAUGGCUAACAGAAGCAGAGCUGUCUCCUGAGGUAGCUCAGAUCAUCACUCCUUCAACCAUUCUUCUGUGCAAAAUUAGAGGGUCCGCUAGGAAGGUCCACUACAAUCCACAUGUUGGGAUAAAUGUUAUUUCCAAGGAGUUAGCUCACACUCUUUAUCCCAAUGAGUCCAUAACCCCAUCUCAAAAACUUUUACAAAGUCCAUCUGGAUUAAUUCUAGAAAGCCAUGGGGGUAUUAAGGGCAGUUCCUGUUAGAAUCAAGGACUCUGGAAUAUGUCUAGAUUUUCACAUUUUUGACAUACCGGAGAUUCCUCUCUUGAUUGGCAGACCAAUCAUGAAACUUCUACAAGAACAACCACAACGAGGUCAUUUAGACUUCAAUGUUGGGAAUUCCACUAUUGUUGUUCCUCUUGCUAGAUCAAUUAACACGAUAGUGGAACCCAAACUUAAACUAGAUCCUAUUGAGGAGAUCUUAAUGCUGACUCAAGAGGAGAUGGCCCAACCAUUCUUUAAUCAUGAACACUUUGUUCAAGAAGAAGAAGAGUUGGUAUAACCUGUUGAGCUAGACAAAAAUGAACAACCUUCACCUCCUUCGAUAGAGUUAAAACCUCUUCCUUCUGGCCUUAGAUAUGUCUUUUUGCACAACAACCCAAAAACUCCAGUAAUUAUCAGUGACAAGCUUUUCGAUUAUGAAACACAACAACUUGUCACUGUUCUUGAAAGGCAUAGAUCAGCAUUUGGCUACUCUCUUGAAGAUCUCACGGGCAUUAGUCCCAUUCUCUGCACUCAUCGUAUCCCUAUUGAUCCCAAUUUUACACCUUCAAGGGAACCACAACGGAGACUUAACAAUGCUAUGCGAGAGGUUGUUAAGAAAGAGGUCCUCAAACUCUAUCAUGCUGGGAUUAUUUAUCCUGUGCCACAUAGUGAGUGGGUUAGCCUUGUCCAAGUAGUGCCAAAGAAAGGAGGAAUGAGAGUCGUUAGGAAUGAGAAGAAUGAACUCAUCCCUCAACAAAUUGUCACUGGGUGGCGUAUGUGUAUUGACUAUCGAAAACUCAACAAGGCUACAAAGAAAGAUCACUUUCCGUUACCCUUCAUUGAUGAAAUAUUGGAACGGCUUGCAAACCACUCUUUAUUUUGUUUCCUUGAUGGUUAUUCUGGAUAUCACCAAAUCCCAAUCCACCCAGAUGACCAAGAAAAGACUACCUUUACAUGCCCGUAUGGAACUUAUGCAUACCGACGAAUGUCGUUCAGAUUGUGCAAUGCUCCAGCUUCUUUCCAACGGUGCAUGAUGUCUAUUUUCUCGGACAUGAUUGAGAAGAUCAUGGAGGUUUUCAUGGAUGAUUUUAUCGUAUAUGGCAAAACCUUCGAUCAUUGUUUGGAGAAUUUAGAUAAAGUCUUGCAGCGAUGUGAAGAAAAGCACUUAAUCCUGAACUGGGAGAAAUGCCAUUUUAUGGUUCAGGAAGGAAUAGUGCUAGGACAUAAAGUGUCCGAACGUGGUAUAGAGGUGGACAAAGCAAAGAUUGAAGUUAUUGAAAAACUUCCACCUCCCACGAAUGUGAAAGGAAUCCGUAGCUUUUUGGGACAUGCAGGGUUCUAUAGACACUUUAUCAAGAACUUCUCUCAAAUUGCUAGACCCCUAACUAGUCUCCUAGCUAAGGAUGCACCUUUCAUCUUUAGUGAUGAGUGUCAUGAAUCUUUUCAAACUCAUAAGAAAGCACUCAUCUCAGCCCCGAUUAUCCAACCACCUGAUUGGAAUCUUCCUUUUGAGAUCAUGUGUGAUGCUAGCGAUUUUGAGGUUGGUGCCGUUUUAGGACAAACCAAGGAUAAAAAGCAUUAUGCCAUAUCCUACGCUAGCAAAAUCUUGUCUGGACCACAGCUCAAUUACACUACAACUGAAAAAGAGAUUUUGGCUAUUGUCUUUGCUAUUGACAAGUUUAGAUCUUACUUAGUGGGGCAAAGAUAAUCAUCUAUUCAGACCAUGCUGCUCUCAAGUACCUCCUCACUAAGAAAGAUGCUAAGCCUCGUCUAAUUCAAUGGAUUCUUCUACUCCAAGACUUUGACAUAGAAAUCCAAGAUAGGAAGGGAGUAGAGAAUUCCGUAGCCGACCACUUGUCUAGGCUUCAAUAUAAGGAAACACAUGAUGAGCUUCCCAUAAAUGACUACCUAAGGGAUGACACCCUGCUUAAGAUAACACAUGUAAAUCCAUGGUACGCAGACAUCGUAAACUUUAUAGUAAAAGGCUAUGUCCCACCUGGUACAAACAAAAGGAAGUUGCUUCACGAUUGUCGUUUCCACCAUUGGGAUGAGCCAUAUUUUUUCCGAGUCUGCACUGAUGGACUCUUGAGAAGGUGUGUUCCUAUGGCUGAGGCUACCCAAAUUAUGGAAAGAUGCCACGCCUCGCCAUAUGGAGGACACUAUGGAGCAUUCCGGACACAUGCUAAAAUUUGGCAAAGUGGCUUUUUCUGGCCAACGAUGUAUGAAGAUACAAAGGACUUUGUCAGGAGAUGCCACCGAUGUCAAAAACAUGGGAAUAUCAACUCACGAAAUGAAAUGCCUCUCACAAAUAAUCUUCAAGUAGAACUUUCCGAUGUAUGGGGCAUUGAUUUCAUGGGGCCAUUCCCUAUGUCCGGGAAUUGCGAGUAUAUCUUAGUAGCUGUGGACUACGUGUCCAAAUGGGUAGAAGCCUGUUGACACUUGCUAACACCACUUGAAUACUAGGUUGUCAUCCCCAGCAUAGCACUAGAGUGUACUAUGGUAUUUAUACGCACACAGAUAAUCCGCAAGCGCACGGAUACCGUUGAAGCUUUUACCCGGUUAAAGGUUUUAUCGUAUCCACAGGGAAACGGGAGAACCAACUACGCUCUAACUUAACCAAAAUAGGAAAGAUGGUAGAAUCGAAUAAGAACAAUAUUAAAGGUAAGAUAACAGUGAGUGAUAAUAUGGGAAUAGAGAAUAGAGCAAUUCUAGUAUAUGGGCGAUGGUAGCAGAAUAGAGAGAAUAACUAUGGUUUCUCUACUUCAAAGGGGUAUGUCUAUGUCUGGGACGAACCACGUGAUAAGAUUACACCAGAAAGGAUGCUUAUCCAUAGGCCGAUAAACACUACCCAUCCUGCUAACGAGAGGUGGACUACAGAGGACCAACGUAACUGUCACCUACGCGGCCUACCACAUGAUCCACCUAGACAGGGGAUAUCCACAAGUAAUCUAGGUCUAAGCACCACGCUUACACCUAUACUACAACUCUAACCUAUAGCGUCCUAUAUAGAUUAGAAGUACUCAAAAGAGUUGUGAACCAGAACAUACAUGAUUAGUAAUUGCAUAAUGAAUUAGAAGUAGAUUACUAGAGUCAUCCCUUGAGCAAGCUUGAUUAGAGCUUGAUCAUGACGAAGUACAACCGGAGGAAGAACCGACAGGCCGGCCUCUCCUCUAAUCCUCCUUCGCUCUCCAUCUUGCUACUAUCUAGAUCUACUCUAGUUUAGAGAAGAGAGGAGAGCUCUCAUCUCUAAACCCUAGCUUUUGCUCUGUCUAUGAAUAAUGAAUAAUGUUCAAGGGGUGCCUCCUCCAGGGGCCAGGGGGUCUGGUUAUAUAGUCUUUUCAGAUGAAUCUGGGCCGUCGGAUCAAACCGACAUUGAUCGUGUGGUUUUCCUUGAAGUAUUAGGUCGGUGGAGAUCUCCCGAGAGAAAGAGUCCCGAUUGGGCUCCAGAGGUGGGCGGGCGCCCAGGGUAGGAGGGCGGGCGCCCUGCCUCUGGCCCCGUUCGGUCUCUGCUUGCUUCCCGUGGCUUCUGGAGUCUUCUAGAUGGAAGAUAAUUGCGCGGCACGUUAAUAUCUCUAUGUAAUUCCGACGUGUGGGCCUUUCUUCCGUAUUUCCUGAUAACCCCCUGCAGAAAUAGACAAACACCAAAACUCGUAGAAUUCUGUCAGAUAAAACCCUAAGUCUAGAUGUUGAUUUCAUUUGGAUCCUUUUUUUUGUUUAUGUGAUAAUUAAAUUUGAUACUUAAGGACCAUCAAUAAACUCCCCCAAGCUUACCUCUUGCUUGUCCCUGAGCAAGGAUAGACUCAGCAAUGGAUCAGAAGUUGUUGCAAUAUCUUAAAAAUUUGACGGUACACAUGCUUUUAAAUAAGAUCUCAUCUCUGAGUUAGAGUAAACUGUCAAGAACUAAAACUUACUUACUUUACCUUUCACCAUGGGACUUGUAACCGUCACUUCUGUCUUGAGUAGUUAAAAGAUAGAACAGUCUAGCCAAGUGCCAUGUCUCUUAUUCUUGAUCAGCUAUAGCUCUGGAGUUUUUACAGAUUUUCAAAUAAAACUCAGAGAUUCCUUGUAUGACUCUCUCAAUCUCUCUUUGGUGGUAUUUCUGGAUCCUUACCAAGGCAGUGAUGGUAUAUGCCUUCUCUCAAGAUAUGUGGUAUUUGUGGUAUAAGGCAUAGUGACAUUGCCUUCUCUCUCACCCUACUCUAAUAAGGCUUUAAUAUCUGGAGCUCAUAGGUGGGAGAUAAAGUAUACAUACUUACAAGACAUUUAUUGUAUAGUCAAACCAUGGAUCCAAAGAAACAAAUCAAUAAGCCAAAUCAAGAUGUGCAUGUGUGGCGAAUGAAUGGUGUAUGGUGAUGAUGGUGAUAACAAUGGUGGAAGUCUAAUUCUACUUUUGCUCUUUUGAGGGGAUACAUACCUUCCUUGCUUUUUGAAACUUUAUGAGGAGAAUGAGAUGCUCUUCUUUUUCUUUUCUCUCAGGUGGGUAUCCUGUACCCCUAAUUCUACUGUCGGACACUUGUCUAUUUUUACCUCUCGUCUCACUCUUUUUUUUUCUUUCGAGGUUCCGGGCACUUGCCCCUUUUUAUUUCCUCGUUUAUUAUUUUUUUCUCUUUUUUUUAGAGCACUCAUCUGUUGAGAUAAUAUAGCAAGUGGUAGUAGCAAGAUAACUUGAGCAUUUAUUUCACAAGGGAAAACAGAAAUAUUUUUGGCUAUUCUUUCCCGGAUUAGGAGUAGAAUAUUUUUGGGUGGUUCUGGAGAUGGACAUGGAUGGAUAUAUGUGGAUGGUACUUCCGGAGUAGAAGUAGCAUAUAUGAGUAAACGUGCAAGUGAAUCUUGAUUUAACCACAUGACAAGCUCCUAAGGGUCUGCACAGCUUGACCACACUCAAUGCUCAUAAGCAGUAAAUAAUAAAUAUGUGGCUCAAAGUCUAGCAAGCAUGUAUAUAUGGCUGUGGUAGGAAUUUAAACUCUCAUCAUACAGGAACUCAUCAUGCAACAUUUUAAAGAUUUUCAAAGAUAAAAUUCUCCAGAUUUCUAGCAUCUCUAGGAACAGAUAAAUAGCAACUCAACCUUCCCAUAUCAUAUCCGUUAACAACUUAGAUUUCAGAUCAAGUUUUCAUCCCACAAGUUUAGAUCUAGAGCAAGCUUUAAAUUAUAACAGUUAUGUCUAAACUUGAGAGAGAGCUUCAAAUUUGCAAAUUAGGCAGAGUAACUAUUCAUCAUAUCCAUGCUAGAGUUUUAUUAUUAAGAUUCAGAUUAGCAUAGCCACUUUAUUUAUUUAUUAAACACACUAAGCAAAAGAUAUAUAUAUAUAAGCACAAAAUCUUUAUUUGGUUUUUCAUAGUUUAUGUAUUUUAAUAUUCUAACAUAAUAUAAGUAUAAAGAUAGGUAGAAAUACUUAGCGAGAUAAAUGGGGGUGCUCUCCCCCAAGCUGAAUUUUGACGUAAUUUCUCUUGCUGUAGCUAGCAGGUGGCAAAGGUGUAUUUGAAAGUUAGCAACAUUCUGACAACGAUUAGAAUGUCCUCCGUCUGCUAGUCUUCUUGAUUCUUAAAUUCUGUGGAGCUCAAAUAGACAACAAAGCUCGUGGAACUAAGUGUUAGCAUAAAUAUCUAGCCUUCAUCAUGUUGAGCUUCCUCAAUAAAUAUUACUCCCUAUUUUUAUAUUUUUAUUUUAUAAAGCAGAAAAGAAAUAUUUAUUUUAUUUUUAUGCCACCAUAGUGAAGGUACUUAUGGGUUUUAUGCCACUCGUAUACUCACAUGGGGCUUAGUAUUUUUUAACAUUUUUAUUUUCUUUUCAAGAUAGCAUGAUUAACUAAUAAUCUAUUUAAAGAAAGUAAAUAAUUAAAGGGAAAAGGGAAUGCAGAAAGGAUAAAUAUGGAUAACUACCGAUCUUACCUUUCGGCGAGGGUUCAAUGUUUUAAGUCUUUUUAACAAGACUUCUCACCGUGUUCAUUCUUUAGGUGCGUCAUUUGAUUCAGGUGCGGACCUUGACAUCUGCACCUCUUGAUACGGUGUCACCCAUGUUCUUCGUUUGCCCAGCAGUUCGAAGUGCGGCGUUGGCAGUAUCCUGCUCAGUGUGUUUGUGCUCGUAGAUCCAGGUCCUUCACUUGGUAGAGUCUGAGAGUUAUAAAACUCCUCCGUGUUUUGCUCAAAGUGUACCUGCUCAUAGAGACAAGGCAGAGAUCAAGUGCAUGGGUCCUGUUGGUGGAAAACACCAACAGAACCUAAAGUGUAUUUGUUGUUCUCUAACCCUAAGCAUAGUGAGCAAGACAAAGUUGAUGGAUGAAAAGUUCAUGAGUGUAGCACUUAUAACAUUUGUCAGAUCAGAUCGCUCAACCUUAUGGAAAGAUAAUUUAUCUAUGUAUAUGUCUUUUUCUUUAUAUCUCUCAAUGAUUGAAUGUGUAACAUUUUAGCUCAUAUGAUUAGGAGUGUGGGAUCAUGGAGGUAGUACUAAGAAUAAGGAUUAAAGGACUAAACAUGUUGAAUCAGUUGGGUUGGUUAAUCUAGACUUGUAAAUCAUACAUGUUUGUCUCUUUUAUUUAUAUGAACGCCAAAACCAAGGAGAAGCUUAUAAAAGUGAUAGUCAAGUACCUUAAGAUGUUACCUUGCUUGAAGAGUGAUGGUACAGUAUCACCUUGUGGAAGCUUUCCUUUCUUAGUGGUUGUGCAUCGUGUUUGUGGCACCCUCCAUGGAUCAUCUCUCUAUGAUGAAUGAGCUAUGUCCUUCUUGUGCAAAUUGUUAAACUUCAUGUGUCACUCUCUUCAUCUCUGAUGUGAGUUUAUCUCAAGACUUCCCAAAUCGAUAUUGAAAGUUUUUCUGCAGGGGUUAGUCCGACAAAAAUAUACCAAUGUCUACACAAGUAGUUUUUAGUUCAAUAACCGAAUUAGACUCCAUGUCUAAUCAGAUUAAGGAAGGCUGUUUAACCUAAGCACCAUGCUUAAUUUAAAAGCCAAUAGAAGUAUGUGCUGUACUUCCAAACUAACACUUACUAGUAAAUAGACAAAGGUAGCAUGACAGCAUUUAUAGAGAUCUACUCAAGUGGAGAUGAAGUAGUGUGAUUAGUAUUUAACAAAUUGAGCAUGUCUUAAAGGUAGGGACAACCAACAUAGCAACAUGACAAAGGAUGUUUUUAUGUAAAGUACUCCCCCAAGCUUGAAUUUUGCAGAAUUCAAGUUUGGAUGAAUUUAAUUCAAUGUUGUAUGAUGAUUGGUUGGACAUACCUUGUGCUUGUCAUUCAUCCGAUCUUCUUGUUCCAAUCCUGGAAAGGUUAGUGACAAGAAUACCCGAAGGAAUAUUUUUACAAUUAUCCUUAUAUGCUCAAUACACAAGGUAAUGUUGCAAAUAAUUAAAAACUCAUGUUACGAUCUGAUCAGCGCUUAUUUUAAGGCACUAAGCUUGUCCUUGGGAAACCAUCAAUUUAUGUCGGCGAAGUGGUUUCCCUUCCAACGCUGACCUAAAUCAAGAUUAACUCAAUGAGAUCUGCAAUAUUUAUUAUAGACAUAUGCAUCGACAACCGCCCUUUUAAAGUUUUUAUAAAUAGAAAGGAAGAGGGGCUUGGAGAUCUCAAAUGUGGUGAUGUUGGAGAGACCAAUAGAUUGGGAAGAUGUUGCAUAUGAGCAUGGAGUAAACGAAGUGGCUAUGAAAUAAAUUCCAUGCUCAUUAAUGUUAUCUUCGCCUCCAAUCUGAAUGUUCGGAGUUUCACCUUGAUUGGUCUCACCUAUGUCCUCUUCUGUAGUUGGAUGAAUCUUAUCUUCAAAGGGAGUCAAGAACUCACCAUUUGAAAUUGAGCCAAAGUCAGAAUCCAUUAAGGCUUCUUCCUUAUCCAUCCAUUCUACACAUUCUAGCCAUUUAGAACUUGUGAUCAGGAAAGGGGAGGUGUUAGAAUUUUCAAUAUGGCUUAGCUCUCCUUCACUUGAUAUGUCAUCCUCGACUUCUUCAUAACAGGAACCAGGACAUUCUCUAAGAGAACCAUUAUUGCGAGGAUUUGAAUUAUCCCUGCUUGAAGGUCUCUUAUGGAACCAUAAGUCUAAACCAUCAGCAUCUGAAAGAUUUAAGGUUGGAAUUCCUUCCUCCCUUGGAGAAUUUUGGGGUAUUGAUGGUUUAGGAUCGAUAGCUAAAGUUUGGAAUUGAAGUGGUUGUGAUCUGGCUAUCGAAACUUCUUCUUCUUGUCUAGAAACUGGUUCUGUCUCUUUCUCAGGGAUAUAAAAGCUAGGAGACUUUCCGCUCAUUAAAUCAAUCAAAUUCCAAGCUUCACUAGCGGAUAGGUGGUGGAAAGAUCCUCCAGAGGCCGCAUGAAGGGUUUGCUUAUCUUUCCUACUAAGGCCCUCAAAAAAGUGAAUUAGAAGAACUUCUUCUGGAAUAGAAAGCUUUGGGCCAGUGAGAGUAAGGUUAAUAAAGCGGUCCCAUGAUUUGCCAAGAGAUUCUUCUUCCAGUUGUCUAAAAGAAAUAAUCUCACGUCAAAGUUCCGCCACUUUAGAGAUUGGAAAAUAUUUUAAAAGAAAACUAUUAUGUAACUCCUUCCAAUCUCCAUGAACACUCCCUAUUUUGAGUUUGUAUCAAUGUCUAGCUUUUCCCGUUAAAGAGAACGGAAAGAGCUUCCAUUUAAGGGUCUCAUCGGACAUUCCUUCUAUGCGAAGGAGGUCACAGACUCGAUAAAACUCUCUUAGGUGUGUGUAUGGGUUUUCCUCACCUUCUCCUGAGAAAGGUUGUUUUUGAACAAAUUCUAUGUAUUCGGGGUCUAUCUCAAAACUAGAUGCUAUGAUAGGUUUUGAAGAUUUUGGUGGUUCGAGAUGUGUACCCGUAGGUCUAUGAAAUUCAUAGAUAGACAUGUUUGAAUUCAUGAUAGACCAGAGAUCAAGGAUUAGAUAAGAAGAAAGAUUAGCAGAGAUGAGGCAAAGGAUAAAAGGAAAAUAUAUUUUUUAUUAUUAUUAUUUUUUUAGAAAAUGAUUAAGCUAGUUCGUAGUCAACUCAGCAACUGUUUCCCCGGCAACGGUGCCAAAAAUACUUGUUGACACUUGCUAACACCACUUGAAUACUAGGUUGUCAUCCCCAGCAUAGAACUAGAGUGUACUAUGGUAUUUAUACGCACACAGAUAAUCCGCAAGCGCACGGAUACCGUUGAAGCUUUUACCUGGUUAAAGGUUUUAUCGUAUCCACAGGGAAACGAGAGAACCAACUACGCUCUAACUUAACCAAAAUAGGAAAGAUGGUAGAAUCGAAUAAGAACAAUAUUAAAGGUAAGAUAAUAGUGAGUGAUAAUAUGGGAAUAGAGAAUAGAGCAAUUCUAGUAUAUGGGCGAUGGUAGCAGAAUAGAGAGAAUAACUAUGGUUUCUCUACUUCAAAGGGGUAUGUCUAUGUCUGGGACGAACCAUGUGAUAAGAUUACACCACAAAGGAUGCUUAUCCAUAGGCCGAUAAACCCUACCCAUCCUGCUAACAAGAGGUGGACUACAGAGGACCAACGUAACUGUCACCUACGCGGCCUACCACACGAUCCAGCUAGACAGGGGAUAUCCACAAGUAGUCUAGGUCUAAGCACCAUGCUUACACCUAUACUACAACUCUAACCUAUAGCGUCCUAUAGAUUAGAAGUACUCAAAAGUGUUGUGAACUAGAACAUACAUGAUUAGUAAUUGCAUAAUGAAUUAGAAGUAGAUUACCAGAGUCAUCCCUUGAGCAAGCUUGAUUAGAGCUUGAUCAUGACGAAGUACAACCGGAGGAAGAACCGACAGGCCGGCCUCUCCUCUAAUCCUCCUUCGCUCUCCAUCUUUCUACUAUCUAGAUCUACUCUAGUUUAGAGAAGAGAGGAGAGCUCUCAUCUCUAAACCCUAGCUUUUGCUCUGUCUAUGAAUAAUGAAUAAUGAUCAAGGAUUGCCUCCUCCAGGGGCCAGGGGGUCUGGUUAUAUAGUCUUUUCAGAUGAAUCUGGGCUGUCGGAUCAAACCGACAUUGAUCGUGUGGUUUUCCUUGAAGUAUUAGGUCGGUGGAGAUCUCCCGAGAGAAAGAGUCCCGAUUGGGCUUCAGAGGUGGGCGGGCGCCCAGGGCAGGAGGGUGGGCGCCCUGCCUCUGGCCCCGUUCGGUCUCCGCUUACUUCCCGUGGCUUCUGGAGUCUUCUAGAUGUAAGAUAAUUGCACGACACAUUAAUAUCUCUAUGUAAUUCCGAUGUGUGGGCCUUUCUUCCGUAUUUCCUGAUAACCCCCUGCAGAAAUAGACAAACACCAAAACUCGUGGAAUUCUGUCAGAUAAAACCCUAUGUCUAGAUGUUGAUUUCAUUUGGAUCAUUUUCUUUGUUUAUUUGAUAAUUCAAUUUGAUACUUAAGGACUGUCAACAAAGCCCUACCUUGUCGAUCAGCUGAUUCAAAACAUGCCAAGAGAAUGUUCCAUGAAGUAAUCUUUCCUCGCUUUGGUAUACCCCGAAUAGUUAUAAGCGAUGGAGGUUCCCACUUCAUCGACAAAAUCUUCCGGAAGUACCUAGCUGAUCAUGGAGUUGGACACAACGUCGCAACACCAUACCAUCCUCAGACUAGCUGUUAAGCCGAAACAUCUAACAAACAAAUCAAAAAUAUUUUACAAAAGACCAUAGAUGAGAUGGGUAAGGGGUGGAAGGACAAACUUCCUGAUGCAAUUUGGGCAUAUAGAACUACAUUCAAAACACCCAUAGGCAUGUCACCUUAUCAACUUGUAUAUGGAAAAACUUGUCAUUUGCCUGUGGAAGUAGAGUUUAAGGCUCAUUGGGCACUCAAGAAAUGGAACAUGGAUCUCCACCUCGCUAGCGAGAAUCGUCUGAUGCAACUAUCUCAGCUAUAAAAAUGGAGAGAGAAAGCCUACCAUAAUUCAAGGAUCUAUAAAGAGAGAACAAAAUGAUGGCAUGAUAAGAGAAUCAAGCACAAGGAGUUUAAGCCUGGAGAUAAGGUUCUACUAUUCAAUUUAAGAGUUAAGCUCUUUAGGCAUGGUAAGCUACGAAGUAAGUGGGAUGGACCAUACAAGGUUAUUGACACUUCAACUCAUGGAGCCAUUAUCAUCCAAGACGACAUAGGUAACACUUUUAAGGUAAAUGGUCAACGCUUGAAAAUCUAUCUCGAGCCACAAAACAACCUGGUAGAGGAACUUGAUGUGAUUGAGUUCAUAGAAUUCUCACAUUAAGCUCUCAUAAGCUCUAGACAAUUACCUAACCCUUAACAUGCUCCACGAGUUUUGUUGUCUAUUUGGGUUGUGUAGGAUUUUGAGGCUUAAGAAGAGUGAGACCGAACAUGCAAGCCACAAGAGUGAACGACUAUGUCAACAUCCAGCUUGGGGGAGGCACCCCCACGUGUAUCUAGAUAAGUAUUACUUUUCUUUCUUGGUUUUAUUUACUAGUAUUUGGAAAUAAAUAAAAAAAUGCAUAACUAUGAAACCAAACAAAGUUUUUCUUUUGAGUAAUAUACAAUAGUUUUGUGUAAUCCUAAGUUUUAAAUAAAAUAAAAAAAGUUUGAUCCAUGUCUAGGUAAUUGACAAACAUGAUAUCAGAAGGUCUGAGCUACUAUUUAACUUGUUCCAAGUUUCGCUAGAGUUCUAGAGAUUUUAUCUUUUGAAAAUCUAAAAAUUCAAAAAAAAGAGAUCCUGUUUGACAUAAUACCUAGAGUCUUAUAAGAUAUAAAUAUUAAAACUGUGGACACUUGCUUUGUUCAAGCCAUUGUUAAUUCUUGUGGUUUUGGUUGAGAGAAUUAUCAUGCUCCAAAGAUCAAGAUCUUUUUGUUUUAAAAAUAUAAAAGAUUCACUCUUCCGAAGUAUUAUUGCGUUAGAGGCAUGGGACUAUGCAAAAUUUUGAUUCGAAAAAAAAGAGUGAGACGAGAGAUAAAAAUGGACAAGUGUCCGAAGUAGAAUUAGAGGUACAAAGAUACGUGUCCGAUAGUAGAAUUAGGGGUACUUGGUGCCCACUUGAAAAAAAAGAGAGAAGAACAAAAAGAAAAAAAAGAGAGAGAGACUGAAAAAAAGAGAGAAAAAAAUGAUAGCCCAUGGUCCCUCUAAUAAGCAAUAUGCCAGUAAGAGAUGAUAAACUUUUCAAAAAGGUCAAAGGUCUUGAUCUAGGAGUAUGACAUUCCUCUCCCUUGCUCCGAGCAUUGAUAUAGCAAAAUGCAAAGUAAGUAUGCUAAAACUUUUAAAGCUCUACUUAUAUAUCUUUCGAGAAGAAGGCAAAUGCCUCAGUUUUAUUUUGGAAACUUACAAAAAACUCCAGAACAAAGGUAAGACAGAAGAACUUGAGACGUAGUGCUUGACUUGAUCGUUCUGUUUUUCAAUCACUUAAGAACUUAGUGAUAACUUAAAAAACCCUGUAGUAAGAGACAUAAAAGUAACCCCUGUUUUCUUGCUGAUUUUAGCUUUGCUCAGGGAUGAGCAAAGGUUAAGCUUGGGGAGCUUGUUGACGGUCCUUAAUGCUCACAUUUAACCGUCAACUAAUCAUGGAAAAGGACCUAUAUGCAACCAACAUCCAAAAUUAGGGUUUCAUCUGAUAGAAUUCCACGAGUUUUGGUGUUUGUCUAUUUCUGCAAAGGGUUAUCAGGAAAUAUGGAGGAAAGGUCCACACGUCAGGUUUAUAUAGAGAUAUUAACAUGCACCGCAAUUAUCCAACAUCUAGAAGAGUCGAGAAGCCACGGGAACGAGCGGGAGGCCGAGCGGGCCUGGGGGCUGGGCGCCCGCCUGCUAUAGGAGCCAAUCAGGCUCCGUCUCGUAGAUUAUGCUCCACCGACCUAAAGGAUUAAGGAAAACCGUGCGAUUAAGAUCGGUUUGAUCCGACGGCCCAUGUUCAUUUGGAAGGGCUAUAUAAGCAGGCCCCCUGGCCCCUGGAGAGGAUAUCUCUUCUACAGAAUCAAAGCUAUGGUUUCAAUUAUUCAUCCAAGUAGAGAGAAUCCCUCUAGUUCAUCUAGUUCUAGUUCUAGUUCAUCUAGUUCUAGUUGUAAUCUAGAAAAUAGGGAGAGAGAAGAGGAGAGCAGAGGAGGAGCUGGAUCUGUCAGAUCUUCCUCGACAUUGUACUUUUGCAGCAACUAGUUCGUUCUUCAUCGUUCUCCAAGUUCUUCAAUUCAUAAUUCCUGAGUUCUUUAAUUACUUUUAUUUAUAUUCAAGUUAUUUAUUGGAUUCCCGCUUGCAUCAAGUGCUCUAGUCUUUGCAACGCUAGAGUAGUAAUUAAUAGAUUAGACGUGGUGUUUAGUCUUGCAAUUACCUGGAAUUGCACCCAAUCCUGCGGAUUGUUGUGGUAACCCUAGGGUAGUGACAGCCCUAACGGUCAACAUAUUCCACCUCGUUCAGAUCGGUGUUUGUAGGACCAUAAUCAGAGCUUUCUAGCCCCCUUCUCAUCUCUUUCUGUGGUUAGUGUUCUGAUGUCCCGAAAUAAAUAAUCUUUAAAGUAAUUUUUGAUUCUCAGAUCAACUAGAGAACUCUCAGGAAACUUCCUCUCUUCCCACCAAAAUAAUUAUAUAGUUAUCUUUGGGCGAUCUUGAAUCUUAAUUAGUACACUCACGUUCCCUGUGGAAAAUCGUUACUCUGGAAUACUCCCGGGUGAAAGCUACAUCAGUAUCCGUGCGCUUGUGGAUUUUUUUGUUUGCAUUUAAAAUACCCAACAGUCAUGCAUAUAUUAGUUUACACUUUGAAGAUCAGUUUACUUUAAUAAUUUGUGCUAUGUGAGCUAGAAGUUAAACUUACCAAGUUACUUCCAGUUUCCUGAGCUAACAUAUCAAAGUCCAUUCCUUGUUUAGCAACAAGUGUCUGUAAAAACAUCAUGGGUUCGAAAUAGGUAUUUAUUUGUACGCAUGUUUUUAUUCUAAUGAUAGUUACCCGCACAACAUGUUCAAGGUUGCUAUAUUUAUUUUGUAGCUGCAAAUUUUCCCUUUCAAGUCGAUUCUCUUUAGCAGAAACAAGUGGUUGGGCACUUCCUUUUCUUGUCUUCGUUGCUUCUUUCUCAUCAACACUAAUUGCUCCAUCACUAAUUCCUAGCUUACCAUGCGGCAUUCUACCUGCAAACUCAUAAAUGACACUUGCAUCUAAUUGUGGAUGCUCAAUUUUCCAAUUCGUGCCAUACUUUUUUUCCAUUCCUUGUUCAUAUUGUGCCUUUUUCCAAAAAAACAUAGAAAAGCUAAGGUUCAGUUACAAGACAAAUACAAGAGCUAUCUGUUAGAUAAUCCAACCCUUACCCAUUUAUCAGCAAUAUUCUGGUUGCACAACCUGCCAUCAUUUGUCCCACGAUUCAAUUUAUGAUUAUGCAGCCAAGCACCAGCAAUUCUAGGGUCAACUCCAUUUUUUAGUACCUACAAUUCAAGUAUGCUUUGACAUAUAUGGUACAUUGUACAUAAGUACUCUAUGAAGUCAUAACUUUUUGGUUUGGAUUCUUACCAGCCAUUGGCGUGUUGCCGGUAAGCUUCUUGAGCCACUGCGAUGUUAUACAAUAUUAUCUCUAGCUAGGCGAUUUUGCUUUGCCGUUACUGAUGAUUUUCUAAAUUUUGAUGAACUCCAGUGCUCACAUAGCAAAGCCCAGCCUUCAUUGGUUGUAAAGUCUAUUGGUUUAGCAGAUAUAAGUGCUUCUUUUGUUGGCCAAUGAUUUCCAUACUCGUUCACAUCUUCUGGGGGCACAUUACCAUCCUUAUAUAGCUUCCUUGUGACAGCCCGCUUCUCUUUACUUAAUAUCUUAGGCACCAUGUUCUUAAAUUUUAACUCCAAGACAGCAUCCGCCUUGGCUCUAUCUUCUGGAAGACACUUGAAACACCACUGGACAAUUAUAUUAUUUAUAGUUAGUUGCAGUUGAGAUACAUUAUACAUAAUAGCAAUGUUAGUUAGUAAGCUAUAGUGUAACACCCUAAAAAUUGUUACCUUAGAAAAUAGAGCUAAAAUGAUUUAUUUAUGAAUUUUUGUGCUCAUGAAACAUAGGAAAAAAUAAUAUUUUUUCAUUAAAAUAAAAAUUUAUCAUAGGAUUAGUAAUAUGGUUGUGCAUUCAUGCUGGAAAAUUCAUUUUUAUUGUGAUGAGUGAUUUGACCAAAGAUCAAAAAUAUUUCAAACAUAUUUUAAAUUGUUUUGACAAGGUUUUGAAAUAAAAAAAAACAAAACCCCAGUCAGCCCCAUUUCCCCAGCGCUCAGGCCCAGAGGCCUCGCCUUCUUUUUUUUUCCCGCGCAGGCCGCUCCUUGGCCUAGCAGGCCAGCCCAGCGCGCGCCCACUACUCCCCCUCUCUUCUCUCUGGUGACCGGGCCCCGACCCUUCUCCCACCGACAUCACGGCCCCACCCGUCAGCCGACUCCUUCCCCCCUUCCUUUCUUCUCCACGUAACCGAACGGGAGACUCCACCGAACGGCAGAGAAAUCCCGGUUUCCUCGGGAUCCUUUGCCAAUCCGCGUGUCAUGCCCCUAUAAAGCUCUCAAAUCAACCCUGUAGACCCCAUUUCGCACUUAAGUCGUUCAACCCGAGCUCUAGCUUCGUUUUCCGCGAGAACUAGAUCUCGCCGAGAGUCCUCUCCGCCGCGGCGAGUGCCCGGCUAUUUCUGCUCCUCGAGCCGAAUCGACCCCCUAGGUGAGAUCGCCGCACUCUCCUCUACUCGCCCAUGUGCUCGGUUUGAAUUUUGGUGCAACGAAUCGUGAAAUCCGUUGACGCCGGCGAGCUCGGCCUCCCUGGCCAUGGCGCCGCCGCAUCGGGACGUCGCUCCGGCGGCCGGCCGCCGCCCGUCACACUCCCAGCGCGCCUGAGCCGUCCAAUCGAGGAUCAACGCUCCAGAUUAAAACAUACCUCUUCGUUGAAAAACUUCAUUAAGAGUCCCUGCAACUUUUCUAUAUUUACUCCGCAGUCCUUGGCGUUUUGGGCGGUUUGCUCUUCUCAGUUUUGAAAGCGUAAUCUAGAUGGCUGGUUUCAAAAUACGCUUUCCAAUAUUCACAGAUUUGCCACUGAAACUAUUUUGCUCAUAAUAUAUUCGUUUUAACUCCGUUUUUGUCCAUCCAAAUUUCAUUAGAUUCAUUUUAACGAGCUCUAUAUGUUAGAAGUACUAUUUCUCUGUUUUGAAACUUUUUAUUUCUGCAGUAGCAUUUAAUUAAUUAUUUCUCAAUAGGAAAUCUUGGAAAAUUCAUAACUUCUACGUUUUAAUUUCGAUUUUCGUGAACUUUACGUUUGUGUGAUCGUAGCGCUGCGUAGAAUAUUUUGAUAAACUUCUAUAUUUGUUUUACCACUGUUUGGUGUAUUGUUCUAAUUAUAGCUUGUUUGCUUCAUGUAUGAUUGUCUACAUUGGAUUGUGUGUGUGAUCGAUGAUCGAGUUUAGACGGAGAGCAGUUUUUGGUGAUCAAGAUCAAAGCUUUGGCAACAAGCAAGACCAGCAGAACCAAAAGGAUCAGCAAGAGCAAUUGGAUUAAGGCAAGUAUAGCAUUUGGGUUUUAAUUUUGUGACCAUGAUCGUGUGACUAGAUUAAUGUUAAGUAAUAAAUGAUAAAAAUGACUUUUUAGCCACUUGAUGAUUUAUCUGUAAGUGAGAACCGGGACAACGAUGCAACCAUGAGGGCUAUAAUGGCUCUGGCUUUAGCUCAGUAUGAAGCCCUUUUCUAGCUUGUUAGAGGUUACCCGAAAGGGCGGAGGGGCUGAACCGUUUUGGGUAUAGUGUGGCCUCUGUCUGUAUGUGUAUAGGCUGCACAUCAUUGUGCCAUCGGAAGGGGGUUCUAUAUCUGCGUGCAAAGGAAACCUUGCGGCCCUAACAGGUUAGACGAACUUCUGAAAGGCUUCAUAGUGAUCCCUGCCGACCUUCCUUGGAAGUGGGUUAAGAGGCUGAUCACCUCGGGGGAAGGUAAAUCAUGACUCAUGGGUAAAAAUGUACAACAUCUGUAGAGUGUUAAAAACUGGUAUACUAGCUGUGCUCACGGUCAAGAGCGGCCUUGCGGAUUCUUGCAUCGACGAUGAUGAUUCUUGUGUGUUAAAUAUGCCCAUUAUUUAUUAUUUAAUGCUCUAUAUUAUUUAUGUCACAUUGAUCAUGAGACUGUGGAAUCUAUACAAUCUAGUUGUUAUACUUGUGGAGUUCGACAUGGACUCACUCUUGCUAUUACCCCCACACUUCAGGAGAUGGUUUAGGCUUGUGAUCAACCAGUCAGUUGGAUCCUAUAGAGAGAAGUUAAUACCCGAAGUUGGAGUUGUCUAUCCGUUGUUUGCUAUCAAAGGUUAUCCCUUUUAUACUAAGUACGUUAUAUUUAUGCAUUGUUUUUUUGAUAUUACCCCUUAUUUGUAGCUAUAUGUGAGAUUUGACUUCUAAAACUGACAUAUGGUGCAUAUCUGGUUUUGAUCUUAAAAUCGGGUAUUAAAAAGUGGUAUCAAAGCAAUGCUGUCUGUAGGACGCAAGCCUAGUUAGAAAUUGGUCGUCUUAAGGUUUUGGAAUUGUCAUGAAAUCCUUGCUCUAUAAACCAUGGUAUUUUCAUCCAUACUAUAUCCCUAUCCUUGCUAUUUGUCUCUACCUUGUUGCUUAUUUUAAAAGUACUUGUUCUCACCUUCACUCCUUGAUUUGGCAUUCUAUUAGAACCUUUUCUUACCAUCUUCUUGCGUCUUUGAAAUAUAAGUUUUAGGAUCUUUACCCUUACUAUGAAGAGAACGAUAGUAUCGCAAGUUGAGUGAAGUGUGAACUUCAAUGCUUAGUUGGUUUGUCAUUAUGCUUAUGCUUGAUUUGGAUCUUUGUAAUGAGUGCAAUGAUCUUGUGGGUUUUCUCCAUAAUUUCAUUUAGUUUAGAGAUCUAAGGUUUAAGGAGUAAUGAAAUAAAUAGUUGGGUUUUGGUUCUCUCUUGUUAUCUUAUCCUGUCUUUUCAGAGUAUCUCCUCUUUAUCAGUUUAUAUCUCUGUUCUUGCAUAACCAAAAAUCAUGAGAAAAUUUUGGAUGAUAGUAGACUUCAAGAUCUUUCUCUGACCGCAAGAAUCACCCUCAUAGCUAUCACGGUUUGGAAGUUACAAAAAUUCACAAGACGAUACAAAUGUGCUGUCAGGAAUCUGGACCAGUUUUGGUUGCCUACUGUUAGAGACAAAUAUAGCUAUAGAAUUUGGAAAAGUGUUCUAUAGAAAAGUUGUAGACAAUUUUCUAAGCUUUUCAAAAGUAUAACCUGGAACUCAUUUGGAUAAGUAUAACCUGAGAUAUGACAUUUACACUUGGAUGUUUCUGUUCUGUUUUAAGAUCUGGACAGAUGUGGUAUUUCCUAUUUUCGGCCAGGUUAAAGUCAGAAUCUGGGAAAGCGUUCUAUACAAAAGUUGUAGAGGAUUUCCUAAGCUUUUCAAAAAUGUAAGGAUCAUCUCCAUAUGAGUUAAGUAGCUUGAGAUAUAAUUUCUGGAAUUUACUGCACCUUUGCUGAGACAUUAUCAGGAAGGAUAUUAUGUUUGGUUGUUUUACCUAAGCUUAAAGACAGAAUCUAAGGAGGUAUUCUACAGGAAAGUUGUGGUGAAUUUCAUAAGCUUUCUAACGGUAUAAGCUAUAACUCUAUUGGAUUCAUAGAGUAAGAGUUAUGUCCAUUUUACUACGCUGGUGUUUUUCAUAUCACGAAAAAAUUUCAGGAUACCUGUUUGUUCUCUUGCACAUAAGUUCUUUGGGAUGUCAGAAGUUCUCAAUGUUAACUUGCCUGGAAAAUAUGCAAGCUACCUUUCUUGGUCCCCUAGUUGACUUUUCUUAAGGGGGUAGCCUAAUUAAAGAAGUUACAAGAGAAGAAGUGGUUAAUGACUAGAACAACUACAAGGACAUCAAGUGCUUGGUAUGUUGGUUUGUUUCAAGAUAUCAUUCUAUUUGAAGUGUGCUAAUACCAAUGGAGGUUUAUGUCAUUGCUGAUACUUAUGGAUUGAGAGUUGUGUAUGAGGAUCAGAUGACACCAAAGGCUACAAUGUUACAUAUGCAAUAUGAGAGUGAAACAACUUAAUUGUGAUAAAGGUACCGAUAAUUGGGACUUAGUGAUGAAACUAACCUUGGAUCAAGAGACUCGGUACAACGAAUACAAAAGACUAUGAUGUGUAGCGUACAAAAAGGAUAGGAGAGCUAGUCUCUAGUGUCCUCCAAUCAAUCUCGUCUUAAGGGGGUAGUACUAGGCCUGGGCAAAUUACCCGAUACACAUUACCCGUACCCGAAUUACCCGGACCGGGACCCGAAUUACCCGAACCCGAGGUACCCGAUCCUAAAUUCAGAUAGUGAUUUUGAUUACCCGAAAUUUGUUUGGGUAAUUCAGGUAAUAUCUUUCGGUACCCGAACUACCCGGAUUACCUGAAUAUUUGUCUAUAUCUUUGUAUUUAUCAUGUGUUGUUAGUUAAAUAUUAGAAUUUAUCAAUUUAUUAGAACAUAAUUCUUUUUGUUUGAACAAGUGAUAGUAAUAUAUUAUUCUCUACAAAAUGCUAUUGAAAUUCUAUACAAAUUGCUGGUGAAAUUAUAUAUAAAUUGCUAUUGAAAUUUUGUAUAGUGUGUUGUUUUUUGAAAAUUCGGGUAAAUCGGGAAUACCCGAACCCGAACCCGAAUUAUCGGGUACCCGAAAUUGCGGGUAGUGUUUUUUCGGGACUAAUAUCGGGUAACAAUUUUCAUUACCCGAAUUUUGAAUUACCCGACCUGAAAAAAUCGGGUAACCCGAAUGCCCAGGCCUAGGUAGUAUGUGGAUACCACGGGAUGAUGCAUAUUUAAUUUAUCUUGAAGUGAUAAUUGUGUUCUAAGAUAUCCUAUGGUUAUUAUCAUCUUUCCUUUGAAGAAAAGUGUUACGAGUAUGACAAAGCUGAGUGUUAUCAAAAUAAUAAUACAGAAGAGCAAGUUGACAUUGAACCAAAUCAGAAUCCACAACGACGGAAGCAUAAAUGGAAAGCUCGUAAAAAGCCUGCUCUCGGAAGUAAAGUGCAGCAAAAUUAUAUCAAUGGAAGACUGAGCAAUGUGGAUAAGAAUAACAUUCAAGGAGCCACCAAAGUGGUGGGAGGCUAUAUUCAAGUGGGCUCAGUGCUAGUUUUUGUUCUGUUUGACCGAAGUGCUUCGCAUUCUUUCAUUUCCGCCGACUUGGUAAAGACGAUCGAACGGGUGAAGUGUCCAACGAGGAAGCCUUUGUUUGUUCAAACCACAAUGGGAGAAAUACAUGCAGAUCAAGUUUGAUCGAAUAUUAAUCUGGUCAUAAGCAAGGAAAACUUCACAGUAAACCUCAUUGUGCUAGAGUCACUCGACAUUCCUUUGGUUCUUGGCAAUGGAUGGUUAUGUGCACACAAAGGAGUGAUCUAUGAUACCCAGUGGAAAAUUUUCUUAACCGCGCCAUCAGGAAAAAGAAUUGAGUAUCAAGGUGGUCCACUCCUACUUGAGGAGGCAUAUCCAUGCUAAGUUAUCAUAUCUUUGAGUUGUAUAAGUCAAAAAAAGUUAGUAGUCAAGAUAGACUUUGAUCAAUUAUGAAUAAUAUACAUUCCAUGGAAUAUUUGAGUUUGCCUUGGUAUACAAGUUGUGAAGUUGAAAGAGUUAUCAAGAUCUUUUUCCCGUUUCUCUUUUGGAAUCCGUGCCUCUUCCGAAUCUCGAGGACGAGAUUCAUUUUAAGGGGGGGUAGAUUUGUAACACCCUAAAAAUUGUUACCUUAGAAAAUAGAGCUAAAAUGAAUUAUUUAUGAAUUUUUGUGCUCAUGAAACAUAGGAAAAAAAUAAUAUUUUUUCAUUAAAAUAAAAAUUUAUCAUAGGAUUAGUAAUAUGGUUGUGCAUUCAUGCUGGAAAAUUCAUUUUUAUUGUGAUGAGUGAUUUGACCAAAGAUCAAAAAUAUUUCAAACAUAUUUUAAAUUGUUUUGAAAAGCCUUUGAAAUAAAAAGAAAAAAACAAAACCCCAGCCAGCCCCAUUUCCCCAGCGCUCAGGCCCAUAGGCCUGGCCUUCUUUUUUUCCCCACGCAGGCCGCUCCUUGGCCUAGCAGGCCAGCCCAGCGCGCGCCCUCUACUCCCCCUCUCUUCUCUCUGGUGACCGGGCCCCGACCCUUCUCUCACCGACCUCAUGGCCCCACCCAUCAGCCGACUUCUUUCCCCCUUCCUUUCUUCUCCACGUAACCGAACGGGAGACUCCACCGAAUGGCAGAGAAAUCCCAGUUUCCUCGGGAUCCCUUGCCAAUGCGCGUGUCAUGCCCCUAUAAAGCUCUCAAAUCAACCCCGUCGACCCCCUUUCACACUUAAGUCGUUCAACCCGAGCUCUAGCUUCGUUUUCCACGAGAACUAGAUCUCAACGAGAGUCCUCUACGCCGCGGCGAGUGCCCGGCUGUUUCUGCUCCUUCUCGAGUCGAAUCGACCCCCUAGGUGAGAUCGCCGCACUCUCCUCUACUCGCCCAUGUGCUCGGUUUGAAUUUUGGUGCAAGGAAUCGUGAAAUCCGUUGACGGCGGCGAGCUCGGCCUCCCUGGCCAUGGUGCCGCCGCGUCGGGACUGUUGACGGUUCUUAAGUAUCAAUUUUAAUUAUCAAAUAAACAAGGGAAAGGACCAAUAUGCAACCAACACCUAGAAUUAGGGUUUGAUCUGACAGAAUUCCAUGAGUUUUGUUGUUUAUCUAUUUCUGCAGGGGGUUAUCAGGAAAUAAGGAAGAAAGGCCCACAUGUCGGGAUUACAUAGAGAUAUCAACGCACCGCACGAUUUUCUACCAUCUAGAAGACUACAGAAGCCACGAGAAGAAAACAGAGGCUGAAAGGGGCCAGGCCCAGGGCGCCCGCCCUGGUGACCUGGGCGCCCGCCCCCCUCUGGAAGCCUUUCGGGACUCUCUUCGCACGGGAUAUUCCACCGACCUAUUGGAUCAAGAAAAACAUAGUACCACCUCGCCUACCGACCCAAAAACGCAUAGAGGAGGAGGACUAUAUAAGGAGACCCCCCUAGCCCCUCGAGAAGAUAUUAAGAAAUUAUCAUAGAGAUUGAGGGGUGCCCUCGAAGGAAAACCUCUUCUCUAAUUAAUAUUUCUUUUUAGGCUUAGCAACCAAUGUAAAGUAGAAAUAGAUCUUCUAGUUUCUACUAGAUUGAGAGAUAUAGAGUGGAGGUGUAGAUCGGAGGAAGGCCGGCCUGUCGGUGUCUACUCCAAGCUUGUACCUGCGGGAUCAAGUUCUCCUAACCCGAAGCUUGCUCCUAGGAUUCUUCAGUAUUUCGACUUCUAAAUUCUAAUAAGUUCUUGUUUUAUUGUUCUUCUGGUUUAUGAGUUUACUUUAAUCUCUUCGCUUAGAGUUUAGAGUAAUCAUUGCUGGCGUAAAUGUGGUGUUUAGGCUGGGGUACUCAUAGAUAUUCCCUGACUAGCUGGACCGUGGAAGUAGUGAGGAACGUGACAAUUCCGAGUUACCUUUGCAGACCAUAUCUCGUUAGCAGGAAGGAUAGGGUUUAUAGGUGCGGGUUGAACAUCCUUUGUGGUGUCAAGAUUCCGUUAGCCUCCCCAAUAGAACAGUAGAUCAUCCUUACCAAGGUUAGAAGGAGACUACGGUUGCAGUCUUCUCUAUUUAUCACUCACAUCGAAAGACAUUCUUUGUGCCUAAAGGGUUAGUAGUAAUAGACCGGUUAGUCAGAUGCACUCUUUCUCCUAGUGGUAAAAAAAUAAAUACGAUACUCUGGAUAAUUUCCCGGGUGAAGUGCUCACCGAUAUCCGUGCGCUUGCGGAUCAAUUCCUUAUUGCGUUCCCAAAUAUCAACAAGCAUUUCUGGCGCCGUUGCCGGGGAGAAAGACGGUUGCUGAGAUAACCUUGAGUCUUACUACUAGCUUGUAUCUAUACUUUUAUCUUUUCUUAUCUUUUAUAUUCUUUAUUUAUUUUCUUUACUCUUACCUUAUGGAAAACCAAAAUUCUAAAUCGAUCCAUGAGUCUGCAAUCCCUUCAGUAACUGACCUUUUACCAUGGGAGUCAUCACAGCCUAUCCAAACAUCCCAGUAUAAGUUAAGUUCUAGUUUGAUUGCCAUGAUUCAAAACCUAUCUUUUUCAGGAAAGGAAGACGAAAACCCUUACCUUCAUAUUAGAGAUUUUGAGCAAACAUGUGAUUGUCUUCGCAUUGAAGGCAUUUCUGAUAAAACUUUACGUUGGAAGCUUUUUCCUUUUUCUUUAAGGGGAGAAGCUAGACAAUGGUACAGUCAGAAGGUAAGUCAACAACAAGGUGAAUGGGGUGUUUUACGAGCCAACUUUUGUCUAGAUUUCUAUUCCCUCGACCGUAUAGCCGACCUUAGACUCGAAGUCCUAUCUUUUAAACAAAAAGAUAAUGAAACUUUGGGAAAAUCCUGGAAACAUUUUUCUGAUCUUUUAGAAUCUGGUCCAAACCUUAAUCUUGAAGACCCUGUUCUUUUAUUUCACUUUUUUCGAGGUCUUCAGAAAAAUUACAAACAAAUGCUACACACAAUGUCUAGAGGUUCUUUCUUUCGAAUCCCUACUAAUGAAGCUAGAGUGAUCCUAGAUAGAAUCCUAGAAGCUGAGAUGGAUAAUACCCUUCAUGAUGAAACCUACGAAGCCGAAGUAGACACUCUGCCAAAUUCUUCAUCUACUUUAGCUAUCCCAAGUUCUGAGCCACAAGAGGAAGAAAUUCCACCACCGGACUUCAUGCUGGAUAUAGAAUCCGAUCUUUUUGCUGAUUUUGGAAAUAUUUCAAACUACCAUUCUAUUGACAAACCCCAAAACGGCCAUUUUAGCAUUUAUUUGCCAAGUGAAUAUCAAUUGAGAGAGCUUAUCUCAGUCAUAAGUAGCGAAUGGUUGGAGGAAUCAGAGCUUACCUCCGAUGUGAUCCGUUUGGACACACCCUCUAUAACUAUACGCUGUGCUUAUAAUUCUGAUCGAUUUAAUGCUCUUUAUAAUUCUGUUGUGGGGAUCAACAUCAUGUCUGAAUCUUUUGCACUUAAACUAUUUAAAAAUCUUGUCUUAACCCCCACAACAAAGGUCAUAGAGGAAUCUUCGGGACGAUUAGUCCCUAGUCUUGGAAUUAUUAAUGUCCUACCUCUUACGGUAGAAGGCUCCAUGGUUCAUUUGAACUUUUAUAUCUUUGAUACAUGGGACUUCGACCUGUUGAUAGGACAACCUUUUAGAAGACUCCUUUAUGAAGGUCAUACUGGAAAGAUACACAUCUCUUUUGGAAAAACCUAUAAAAUCCCAAUAACAAUUUCACACUCCUUAAACAAUAAGGCCGAGUCAUAUCUUUUGCCUGAUCCUAUGGAGGAGGUAAAGGCUGCAUCUCUAGAGCUUUUAGAAGAAUCAGACUUAGAAGACGAAAUUCCUUUCUUCACUGAAGAAGAAACCGAACCUUCUGAACCUGAACCCUUAGAUGAGUUUGCAGAAACACCUAGACCCCCCAUAGAGCUUAAAACUUUACCACCCGGUCUUACAUAUGCUUUCCUAAACAAUAAUCCAGAGUUCCCUGUAAUCAUUAGCGAUAAACUCACUCAGGAUCAAACUCUGCGAUUAAUGACCAUUCUUGAGAAACAUCACUCAGUUUUCGGCUACUCACUCCAAGAUCUUACAGGAAUCAGUCCUAUGAUUUGUACCCAUCGUAUUCCAACAGAUCCUUCUGUUUCACCCUCUCGAGAACCCCAACGUAGACUUAAUAACACUAUGAGAGAGGUAGUUAAAAAGGAAGUUAUAAAGUUGCUGCAUGCAGUGAUUAUAUAUCCUGUGCCGCAUAGUGAGUGGGUAAGCCCAGUGCAAGUUGUGCCUAAAAAGGGAGGCAUGACUGUUAUUAUGAAUGAAAAGAACGAGCUAAUUCCGCAACGCACCGUGAGAGGAUGGCGGAUGUGCAUAGACUAUAGAAAACUAAACAAAGCCACGAAAAAGGAUCACUUUCCUUUACCUUUCAUAGAUGAGAUGCUAGAGCGAUUAGCGAACCAUUCGUUCUUCUGUUUCUUAGAUGGAUAUUCAGGAUAUCACCAAAUCCCGAUCCAUCCUGAUGAUCAAAGCAAAACCAAUUUUACAUGCCCAUAUGGAACUUAUGCUUACCGUAGAAUGUCUUUUGGGUUAUGUAAUGCACCAUCUUCUUUUCAAAGAUGCAUGAUGUCUAUAUUUUCUGAUAUGAUCGAAGAAAUUAUGGAAGUUUUCAUGGAUGAUUUCUCUGUUUAUGGAAAAACGUUUGAUAGUUGUCUUGAAAACUUAGACAAGGUUUUGCAAAGAUGUGAAGAAAAGCACUUAGUCCUUAAUUGGGAAAAAUGUCAUUUUAUGGUUAGAGAAGGAAUAGUGCUGGGACACCUAGUGUCUGAAAGAGGUAUUGAGGUAGACAAAGCUAAAAUUGAAAUAAUUGAACAACUACCUCCACCUGUGAAUAUAAAAGGAAUUCAAAGCUUUCUUGGCCAUGCUGGUUUUUAUCGUAGAUUUAUAAAAGAUUUUUCAUUUAUUGCUAGACCACUUACUCUUUUGCUAGCCAAGGAUGCUCCUUUCGAAUUUGAUGAUGCAUGUCUAACAUCUUUCAAUUUAUUAAAGAAAGCACUCAUCUCUGCACCAAUCAUUCAACCCCCUGAUUGGUCGUUGCCUUUUGAAAUUAUGUGUGAUGCUAGUGAUUAUGCUGUGGGGGCAGUAUUGGGACAAACUAAAAAUAAGAAGCAUCAUGCAAUUGCUUAUGCCAGUAAAACUUUGACAGGAGCUCAACUUAACUAUGCAACCACUGAAAAAGAGCUUCUGGCUGUUGUCUUUGCCAUUGAUAAAUUUAGAUCUUAUUUAGUUAGAGCUAAAAUAAUUGUUUACACUGAUCAUGUUGCACUAAAAUAUUUGCUCACUAAAAAAGAUGCUAAACCUCGCCUGAUUAGAUGGAUCUUAUUACUCCAAGAAUUUGACUUAGAAAUAAAAGAUAAAAAGGGAGUAGAAAAUUCUGUUGCUGAUCACUUGUCUAGAAUGUAUUUUAAGAGUCCACAGGAAACCCCCAUCAAUGAUUCACUCCGGGACGACAUGCUCUACGGGAUUAACAGGUCUGACCCCUGGUAUGCAGAUAUUGUUAAUUUUAUGGUUUCAAGGUAUGUACCACCAGGAGCAAACAAGAAGAAGCUUAUUCAAGAAAGUCGUUCACAUAUAUGGGAUGAGCCAUACCUCUUCCGAGUAUGCUCUGAUGGCUUAUGUUGGGUAUUCUUAACAUCAUAACCAAAAGUAGACAGUUUCCUAAUUCUAGUAACGGUGCCAAAAAUGCCAAACCUAUCCCUCACACCACUUAAGCCAAGUUGUCAUCCCCAGCAUGACAUGAGAGACGCGGUAUUGAAAUAUGCAAUUGCUCUUCUAAAUAAAUAAUGAAUGGGAUCUGCAAGCGCACAGAUUAAUACCGAUGUAGCAUUUUAACCGGGAAGUAUUCCAGGUAUCGUUAUUUAUAUUUUUACCACUGGGAAGGGAUUAACAAUCAUCAAUAUUGAUUACAGAAUAGAAUAUGAGAUUGAGUAUCUAUCAUUGCAUGUAUAAUUGAGAACAUUUAUCUAACUCUUUCAUACAGGGAUAAGUGUCACAUAAAAGAUAUAUGAAAUAAUGAAUAGUGACAAAGAUAAUUAGUCUGAUCAUAACUUAGCCACAUAAUAAAUAUGAUAAGCACCUCAAUUAGAUACUCUAGAAAGUCAUUAGCAUGGUAUUAGAACGAACUACAAGAAUAUUUCCUAAGUUAUUCUCAACUAUAUUGUCUAGCAUUAUCAUAAUUAGUGCAAGCAUACUUAGCAAUCAUUGUGAGACAAGACUACGCCCAUGCAUAGUGAUAUUAGCAAGGUAAAUGAGAAACAUAGCAAUCACUCCCCUGUAAUAAUGUUGCUCUGCCAGCCCAAUACACGAGAGGGGGACUAUAUAAGAAUCAAUGAAGCUGUCACUCAGGAGAUGUGUGACCACUGAAGAAGGAUGGAAGAUCAUCGACAGAUGUCAUUCAUCACCAUAUGGAGGUCACUAUGGAGCAUUCCGUACACAUUCAAAGAUCUAUCAGUGUGGAUUCUACUGGCCUACAAUGUAUGAAGACACGAAGCAAUAUAUCAGAAGAUGUGGGCCAUGUCAAAGACACGGAAACAUAAAUACAAGGGAUGCAAUGCCACUCACCAACAACCUUUAGAUUGAGCUCUUUGAUGUCUGGGAAUAGACUACAUGGGUCCAUUUCCUCCAUCAAAGAAGUGUGAGUACAUCUUGGUGGUGGUUGACAUGUCUCCAAGUGGGUAGAGGCAUUACCUUGCAAGCAUGCCGACAACAUCAGUUCAAAGAGGAUGUUUGAAGAAAUUAUAUUUCUAAGAUUUGGAGUCCCCAGAGUAGUGAUAAGUGAUGGAGGAGCACACUUCAUCGACAAACGCUUCAAGCAAUAUCUAGCAAAACAUGGAAUCCGUCACAACAUCGCUACCCCUUAUCAUCCUCAGACAAGUGGCCAAGCAGAAACUUCCAACAAACAAAUCAAGAAUAUUCUUCAGAAGACAGUAAAUAAAAUGGGAACGGCGUGGAAAGACAAGUUACCCGAUGCACUCUGGGCAUACCGGACAACAUACAAGACCCCAAUCGGAAUGUCUCCAUACUAAUUGGUGUACGGGAAGACUUGCCAUCUACCUGUUGAACUAGAGUUCAAAGCACACUAGGCCGUAAAGAGAUGGAAUAUGGACCUAGAUGUUGCUGGAGAUCAUAGAAGAAUGCAACUAUCAGAAUUGGAAGAAUGGCGAGAAAAAGCAUAUCACAAUCUACAAAGAAAGAGUCAAAAGGUGACAUGACAAGAGAAUCAAGAAGAAGGAGUUCACACCCGGAGAUAAGGUAUUACUUUUUAAUUCCAGGGUAAAGCUUUUCGGGCAUGGGAAACUCUGGAGCAAAUGGGAAGGACCAUUCAAGGUAAUUAAUUCAUCAUCCUACGGAGCUAUCACACUUCAAAAUGACGAAGGUACGUUAUUCAAGGUAAAUGGUCAAUGUCUUAAAUUAUUUUUAGAGCCCAAUAAAGAAUUAGAAGAAAUAGACGUAGUCCACUUUUACCUUCCCAUGGAGAAUUAGAGCCCGACCUUUUUAGUCUGAUGUUUUUGGGUCAUGUAUAUAUUUUUCUAAAUAGUUUUGCAUCUAGAAACGCGCUCGAGAAAGUGGGCUCACAGAGGGGCCAGAGAGAGGGCGGGCGCCCAGCUCAGGUGGGCGGGCGCCCAGCUCCUGUUCCCCCUCGGUCCCGACUUUCUCUAUUAUGGAAAAUGCACUUAUGGUAAUCCGAAUAACCCCUCAGAUGGAAAGUUUCGCACGCACAUCGACGGGAGCAACCCGAACAACCCAUAGAGGCACUCUUUGACCCCUAUAUAUAAACAGACCCCUGACAUCAGUUUUCAAACACCAAGCCACCAAGCCUUCUCUUCUUCUUCAAUUAGAGCUUGAUUAGUUCCUUGCUGCUCCAAUGGCCGAGAAGUACCACGAUGAUUGGGAAGUCGUCCCCUUCAACCUCAACAUGGAGCCUGUGGAAGACCCCGAUGCCCGUGCUCUCGUCCCGGCCAACACAGAGCGACAGCUAGAAGCCAUGCCAUUACGCCAGCGCAGCUCCGCCCAAUCCUACCAUGCUCAACCAGUUCUCACCGCACCGCCACAACCCCUACUCCUUAUGAGAUCAUCAUCCAAGACGAAGACCACUAUCAAGGUGCCAAUCGGCACGAGGAUCCUUCCACCAAGACCCAAUGAGAGGGUCGUUGGAGUCAAGACCAACCGGAGCGGCGAGAUCAGCAGCGUUCGCUACACUACGGAGGAGGAAAGACCUUACUUUGAAGGGAUUAGAGCAGCCAAAGUCCGUUUCAUCCCUCCAAAGGCAGCCCCGAAGCACGCUCUCAAUGCUUUUGAGACACCUCCCAAGCGUCGCAAGACUAUAAUGGAUAUUGAUGAGGACGUUCGCAGACUAGACAGAAUUAUCAUAGACCUCCAGUCCUCGAUUAAUUCCCUCACUAGGCAGCUCUCUAACCACAACACCAUUAUACUAGGCCUUAGGCAGGAUCUUGCUAGUGCCAACAAGAAGAUUAAGGAAUUAGAGCGCCGCUAAGUUAUCUAGAUUAGAACUUGAGGCAAUGCAUCUUAGUUAUUUAUCUUUAAAUUCGGUUUAGGUUUACUAUUAUCAUCAGUUUGCUACUAGUUAUUUGUAGUAAAUGCCUCAAGAUUAAUAAAGAGUAUUAUUAUUAUUAUGUCUUGUGUGUCUCUACUUUAUUUUUGUGCAAGAAAGCAGAAAACAAGUAUGGGGGAGAUCCCUCAACAUGCCAAACACACUCCGACUACACCACUCCACGAUUCAGGUACACACUCUGCACACUUUACUUUACACCUACACAUAUCUUAGACUAUGCAGAAUACUGUUUCCGACAUGAUAAAUUAAAAAGAUUAAAAUAUUUCUAAUCAUGAUUAAUCUCACUCUGUUAUAUUUCCUGAAAACUUGCAAUUAUUAUAAAAUCAUUUUAAAACCUUGUGUUACUUAAGUCAAUAUGGAAUAUGUGAUGGUAGAAUAUGAGUUUCUUAUUCUUGAUAUCAUUGCUACUUGGAGAAUUUAUUUCAAAAUAUUCAAAAUUCUAGCUACCAUCCUCAGUGUUUUAUAUGCCUGAUAAAACUAAAAAUAUUAAUUAUGAUUAUAAAAGCUAUCUACUCUGUAUUGAGUUUGUUCAAAAUGAGUUAGACCCUUGUUGAGAGAUUUAUCAUGCUCCUAAGAUCAAGACAUUUAUUCAGAAAGAUUCACUCUUCCGAAGUAUUAUUGCAUUAGAGGCAUGGGCUAUGCAAAAAUAGAAAUAUUUUGAGGAAAUAAAAAGGAGCAAGUGCUCGACAACCUCGCAGAAAAAAUGGACAAGUGUCCAACAGUAGAAUUAGGGAUACCUCGGUAUCCACUUAAAAAAAAGAAGAAGAAAAAGAGAAAAUGAUAGCCCAUGGUCCCUCUAAUAAGCAAUAUGCCAGCAAGAGUUGACAAAGAUUUUAAUUUCCAAGGUAUUUGAUCUAAGAGUAUGACAUUCCCUUCCUCGGAUCCCGUUUUGAUCAGGCAAUAAAUGCAAAGUAAGUAUGCUUGAGAAUUUUUGCAAAUUAAAACAGCCUCAGUGAGAUAUAUAAAAGAUAAUGAGUGAUCUGAGAGAACCUAUGAGGAUAAAAAGGUAUGCUAACUUUCUUUCAAAAAUAUACAAAAAACUCCAAGUAACAGGAUUGAGAAGAAAGGAUCUUUACUCUUAAUCAUAUACUUCCCUGACUACAGUACACAGUAAAUUUUAAUACCCUACAAAUAUAAAGAAUGUUUUAAAUGAUUACCCCAGAUAUUUUUCUUAACCAUCCUUUUCUCGAGGACGAGUAAAAGCCUAAGUAUGGGGGUAUUUGUUGACGGUUCUUAAGUAUCAAUUUUAAUUAUCAAAUAAACAAGGGAAAGGACCAAUAUGCAACCAACACCGAGAAUUAGGGUUUGAUCUGACAGAAUUCCACGAGUUUUGUUGUUUAUCUAUUUCUGCAGGGGGUUAUCAGGAAAUAAGGAAGAAAGGCCCACAUGUCGGGAUUACAUAGAGAUAUCAACGCACCGCACGAUUUUCUACCAUCUAGAGGACUCCAAAAGCCACGCGAAGAAAACAGAGGCCGAAAGGGGCCAGGCCUAGGGCGCCCGCCCUGGUGACCUGGGCGCCCGCCCCCCUCUGGAAGCCUUUCGGGACUCUCUUCGCACGGGAUAUUCCACCAACCUAUUGGAUCAAGAAAAACAUAGUACCACCUCGCCUACCAACCCAAAAACGCAUAGAGGAGGAGGACUAUAUAAGGAGACCCCCCUGGCCCUUGGAGAAGACAUGAAGAAAUUAUCAUAGAGAUUGAGGGGUGCCCUCGAAGGAAAACCUCUUCGAUAAUUAAUAUUUCUUUUUAGGCUUAGCAACCAAUGUAAAGUAGAAAUAGAUCUUCUAGUUUCUACUAGAUUGAGAGAUAUAGAGUGGAGGUGUAGAUCGGAGGAAGGCCGGCCUGUCAGUGUCUACUCCAAACUUGUACCUCCGGGAUCAAGUUCUCCUAACCCGAAGCUUGCUCCUAGGAUUCUUCAGUAUUUCGACUUCUAAAUUCUAGUAAGUUCUUGUUUUAUUGUUCUUCUAGUUUAUGAGUUUACUUUAAUCUCUUCGCAUAGAGUUUAGAGUAAUCAUUGCUGGCGUAAACGUGGUGUUUAGGCUGGGGUACUCAUAGAUAUUCCUUGACUAGCUGGACCGUGGUAGUAGUGAGGAACGUGACAAUUCCGAGUUACCUUUGCAGACCAUAUCUCGUUAGCAGGAAGGAUAGGGUUUAUAGGUGCAGGUUGAACAUCCUUUGUGGUGUCUAGAUUCCGUUAGCCUCUCCAAUAGAACAGUAGAUCAUCCUUACCAAGGUUAGAAGGAGACUACGGUUGCAGUCUUCUCUAUUUAUCACUCACAUCGAAAGACAUUCUUUGUGCCUAAAGGGUUAGUAGUAAUAGACCGGUUAGUCAGAUGCACUCUUUCUCCUAGUGGUAAAAAAAUAAAUACGAUACUCUGGAUAAUUUCCCGGGUGAAGUGCUCACCGAUAUCCGUACGCUUGCGGAUCAAUUCCUUAUUGCGUUCCCAAAUAUCAACAAUCUGCUUCAACCACCAAGAACUGGAGAAAUGAGGGACGUCGCUCCAGCGGCCGGCCGCCGCCCGUCACACCCCAGCGCGCCUGAGCCGUCCAAUCGAGGAUCAACGCUCUAGAUUAAAACAUACCUUUUCGUUGAAAAACUUCAUUAAGAGUCCCUGCAACUUUUCUAUAUUUACUCCGCAAUCCUUGGCGUUUUGGGCGGUUUGCGCUUCUCAGUUUUGAAAGUGUAAUCUAGACGGCUGGUUUCAAAAUACGCUUUCCAAUAUUCGCAUAUUUGUAUUUUGCUCAUAAUAUAUUCGUUUUAACUCCGUUUUUGUCCAUCCAAAUUUCGUUAGAUUCAUCUUAACGAGCUCUAUAUGUUAGAAUUAUUAUUUCUCUGUUUUGAAACUUUUUAUUUCUGCAGUAGCAUUUAAUUAAUUAUUUUUCUAUAGGAAAUCUUGGAAAAUUCAUAACUUCUACGUUUUAAUUCUGAUUUUCGUGAACUUUACGUUUGUGUGAUCGUAGCGCUGCGUAGAAUAUUUUGAUAAACUUUUAUAUUUGUUUUACCACUGUUUGGUGUAUUGUUCUAAUUAUAGCUUGUUUGCUUCGUGUAUGAUUGUCUACAUUGGAUUGUGUGUGUGAUCGAUGAUCGAGUUUAGACGGAGAGCAGUUUUUGGUGAUCAAGAUCAAAGCUUUGGCAAUAAGCAAGACUAGUAGAACCAAGAGGAUCAGCAAGAGCAAUUGGAUUAAGGCAAGUAUAGCAUUUGGGUUUUAAUUCUAUGACCAUGAUCGUGUGAUUAGAUUAAUGUUAAGUAAUAAAUGAUAAAAAUGACUUUUUAGCCACUUGAUGAUUUAUCUGUAAGUGAUAACCGGGACAACAGUGCAACCAUGAGGGCUAUAAUGGCUCUGGCUUUAGCUCAGUAUGAAGCCCAUUUCUAGCUUGUUAGAGGUUACCCGAAAGGGCGGAGGGGUUGAACUGUUUUGGGUAUAGUGUGGCCUCUGUCUGUAUGUGUAUAGGCUGCGCGUCAUUGUGCCAUCGAAAGGAGGGUUCUAUAUCUACGCGCAAAGGAAACCUUGCGGCUCUAACAGGUUAGAUGGACUUUUAAAAGGCUUCAUAGUGAUCCCUGCCGACCUUCCUUGGAAGUGGGUUAAGAGGCUGAUCACCUCGGGCGAAAGGGUAAAUCAUGACUCAUGGGUAAAGAUGUACAACCUCUGUAGAGUGUUAAAAACUGGUAUAUUAGCCGUGCUCACGGUCAAGAGCGGCCUUGGGGAUUCUUGCAUCGACGAUGAUGAUUUUUGUGUAUUAAAUAUGCCCAUUAUUAUUAUUUAAUGCUCUACAUUAUUUAUGUCACAUUGAUCAUGAGACUGUGGGAUCUAUACAAUCUUGUUGCUAUACUUAUGGAGUUCGACAUGGACUCACUCUUGCUAUUACCCCCACACUUCAGGAGAUGGUUUAGGCUUGUGAUCAACCAGUCAGUUGGAUCCUGUUGAGAGAAGUUAAUACCCAAAGUUGGAGUUGUCUAUCCGCUGUUUGCUAUCAAAGGUUAUCCCUUUUAUACUAAGUACGUUAUAUUUAUGCAUUGUUUUUUUUAUAUUACCUCUUAUUUAUAGUUAUAUGUGAGAUUUGACUUCUAAAACUCACAUAUGGUGCAUGUCUGGUUUUGAUCUUAAAAUCGGGUAUAACAUAUAGUUACUGUGUACAUGUAACACAUACACAGAACUCUUCCAAUACUUUCUUAUCAGUUGAUACCCCAGUUAUGGUAGUCCUCUUGAAAUCUUCCCAUGUUAGCACUGGCUUCUUCCUAUUUGGUGUAUCAACAAAGUCAGGAUAUGUGGGGGUAUAAACCCCUAUACCCUUACGGCAUGACUUGGGCCAGGAGGCUUGGCCCAUUACGAGACAAGUUCGAGGCUUGAUCCGACUGCUCGGAGUUUCGCGCAAGGAAACAGGACGUGGAGAUCAAACAUGAUUCUAGUCGGUUAGAAUAGGAAUUGAUAUCGUAGUAUCUAUGGCAAUUGUAACUGACUAGGAUUAGUUUCCAGAUCUGUAACCCUGCCCUCUGGACUAUAUAAGGAGAGGCAAGGGACCCCCAUAGGACACAUUAUUCUCUCGACACAAAUCAAUACAACAAGACGCAGGACGUAGGUAUUACGCCCACACGACGGCCGAACCUGGAUAAAGACCUUGUCUGUGUCUUGCGUCACCAUCAAGUUCGUAGCUUGCGCACCGUCUACCGAUAAACUACUACCGUGGGUAUACCCCAAGGUAGACUGCCGACUUGCUUUCGUCGACAGUGGCGCGCCAGGUAGGGGGUGUGCGUACAGCUCUCCCGACGAACAAGAUGGUCAUCGUUCCAGCUUCCGCGGCCGUGCCCGAAGGCCUCACGCUCACCGUCGGCCAGAUCACGUGGACGACUCGUGGCGACGGCCUCACGACCACGACUUCAGAAGAAACCCAGAUCCAAUCUGGGGCGACAACGGCGUCGACUCCGAUCACGCCGACACCGACCACUCGACCACUGCUCCCUCGCUACAGGGGAAAGAAGGUCGACAGCUCAGAUCUUUUCCGAGCCCUUGAUCGCCUCGAUCUCAGGCUCCUCGAAGCUUCCCGACUGAUAGAUGGGAUCUCGUGCCAGUCUAAUCGAAUCGUGUCAAUAGAUUUUUUUGACUCCUGCCAGCCAACUCGUGUCAUCACGCACGAACAGCUGGAGACGUCUCUGGCGAUAACAUCCACCCCCGCAGGGCGGUCCGUCAAGCUUAGGGCGGACCCGGAUCAGAGUCCUCCUUACGGGCUAAACAACUCAGCCGUUUACUACUCACGGCACAUCCAAUCCCUUUUCAACAGGGCGGGUUGGGUGCCAAAAUGGAACAGUCGACCGGCUCGUCACUACGUCAACAUGGUGACAAUCCGAGAACUACCAAACGACCAGGCUUCCAGCACAAACUCCAGCACUGGAUCCGUCCCCACCGAGGUUAUAAACUCUGAGGACGAAGAUUACGACCUGGAAUUACCACAGUACCCUCCGGGUUUCUCUCGCUUCCCGGUCUUUCCGCCCCGGCGGGGAGAUCUCGUCUUCAAUGUCAGCAACGACGAACCGGUUGUCGAUGGAGAGAUAGACGAUCAGAGGCACUCCGUGAACAGCGCAAUGCCGACCGUGCUCGGCGACGUGCGGACGAGGAGCGACAACUCCCGCCGCAUAACCUUGGUGACGCUUUCGACAUGGUCGGAGAUCAACAAGUCUACAAAACGCCAAGUGCUAACGUGGCUGUUGCUAUGGCAAACCUAGACCGACUCCCUGAUACCCACGAGUGCCAGGGCGUCCGAUCCAGCGUACGCGCGCAUCUGAUCGUCGUGAUGGGACAGACAGCAACCUUACUCAAAAGGGUCCAAGCUAUCUCCUACACAGAGGUCUCCUCCGACCAGACUCAUCGUAGUCGGACCUCACCACAACCCAGCGAGCACCACCGCAGCCGCUCCCCCAAUAAUCGUCGGAAGAAUUCACGGCGUGGCAACGGUGGUUGGGCCGCCGGCGGCAACCGCGAGCAGAACCGCGGGCGUGGUCAGGAGGUAAACCAGGACAGGGAUCUACGAUACAAUAUCCCUCCCAAAGACGCCCGGGACCACAUCAACAGGCGCGCUACGGAAAGAGCGGUGCACGAGAACCUGCGGCAUAUUGAGUACGACGCCACGCACGGUCCUCCCGGCCUGAGACAGUUUUCCUCACACCUUCGCCAAGUCGUAUGGCCCCGCAACUUCAAACUCGAGAAGCUCAAAAAAUACGACGGCAAGGAAAACCUAGAAAACUUGAUCACUCUCUAUGAGAUUGCAGUCCGUCCAGCAGCAGACAAUGAGCACGUCAUGGCCAACUACUUCCUAGUCGUCCUCGACCAGGCUGGUCAUCAGUGGCUCCUGGGCCUGCCCGAGGACUCCUUCGAUUCCUGGGAAGAAUUGCGCCAAGCAUUUAUUGACAAUUUUAUCUCUACCUGCGAGCAGCCCGAGAACAAAUACGACCUCGAGAGAAUAAGGGACAGGAAAAACGAGCCUUUGCGCAAUUACAUCCGACGAUUCUCAGAUAUGCGCCUUAAAAUCCCGAAAAUCUCUCACGACGAGGCCAUAUCCGCCUUCAUCAAAGGACUACGCUUCCACGAGGCACUAAGAAACAAGCUACUGUGCAGAAGGCCAACCACGGUGGCUGAGCUCCUUGCCACAGCAAAAAACUAUGCCGACGCCGACGACGCAGAAAAACUCAUCCGAGAGGAUGCUAGAGGUCCCGACCAGCCUCCUCGACGGGACGACAGUCGUGGUCGUUUCGAUAACAGAAACCACCGUCGCCCCGACAACCGCGACCAAAGAGAAGGUUGGGAUAGGCAGCGUGAUAAUCAUGAUGAUUUCAGGAGCAAGCGCCCUCGAGACCACGACCACGAGGUGAAUAUAGUCAAACGCCCCAACGGACAGCGGGACUACCAGGAAGAUUACAACAAGACGUUGAAGGGACCGUGCCAACUCCACCCCAAGUCUAACCACACGAUGGAAGAAUGUCGUGUCCUCAAAAGCAUCUACACGCGGCGGGCCGCUCAAGAUGAUUCCGCCAAGAAAAACGGAAAGCAGGACGGGCGCGAUCACGAAGACGAAGACGAGGACCUGGAUAGGGACCCACGACACCAGUAUGUCAACCCUACCGACGUGGUCCACUCUAUCUUCGGAGGCAAAGUUUCCAUCGAAUCCAAGCACGAAAGAAAGCUCCUAAAGAGAGCCUACCUCAAUGUGGACAGCACAGACGGUUUGAUCGCCGAUCCGAAAUUUCCUUCCUGGUCGCAUAGGGAGAUCUCCUUUAGCAGGAAGGAUCAGUGGGCCGCCAUCCCGGAGCCAGGACGUUUCCCUCUGAUCCUGGAUCCUUGCAUCAACAGCAUCAGAUCCAAGCGCGUCCUUGUCGACGGGGGAAGCUCCAUUGACAUCCUCUUUUGCAACAGUUUGCCUGCUCUCAAGAUAACCCCAGCACAACUAAAGCCAUAUGACGCACAAUUCUGGGGAGUCCUGCCAGGUCAAAGUUGAGUACCCCUCGGACAGAUAACGCUGCCUAUCCAGUUCGGAACGCGCGACCACUUCCGAACAGAGUUCGUCAACUUCGUGGUCGCCGACUUUGACAGAACUUAUCAUGCCAUCUUGGGCCGACCAUCGCUGACAAAGUUCAUGGCCGUUCCGCACUAUUCAUACCUGGUCCUUAAAAUGCCAACAGAGAAAGGCGUCCUAACUGUCAGAGGCAACGUUUAUACCGCAUACACUUGCGAGGAGGAAAGUUUCAAGAUCACUGAGGAGCGCUCUUCAGGUUUCUCAGGGACAAUGUAAGCGUUUUCACGUGGAAACCCGCGGACAUGCCCGGCGUCCCGCGAAACCUGAUCGAGCACUCCUUAAACGUCUCGAAGACCACAAGAUCUAUCAAGCAGAAACUACGACGGUUCGCUCGUGACAAAAAGGAGGCUAUUAGGACAGAAAUAACUCGGCUUCUAGCAGCCGGAUUCAUUAAAGAAGUGUAUCAUCCCGAUUGGAUCGCCAAUCCGGUUCUUGUACGAAAAAAGAAUAAUGAAUGGAGAAUGUGUGUUGAUUACACUGAUCUCAAUAAGCACUGUCCUAAAGAUCCUUUUGGUCUCCCUCGCAUCGACGAGGUGGUCGACUCAACGGCCGGAUGCGAACUCCUCUCUUUUCUAGACUGCUACUCUGGUUAUCACCAGAUCUCGCUAAAGGAAGAUGACCAGAUCAAAACAUCUUUUAUCACUCCUUUCGGCGCGUAUUGCUACACGACCAUGUCCUUCGGACUCAAAAACGCUGGAGCCACCUAUCAACGGGCCAUUCAGCAAUGCCUCCACGACGAGAUUCGUGAUGACCUCGUCGAGGCUUAUGUAGAUGACGUCGUCGUCAAAACAAAGGACGCGAGCACUCUAAUCGAUAACCUAGACCGAACUUUCAAGGCACUAAAUAAAUACAAGUGGAAGCUUAACCCCAAGAAAUGUAUCUUCGGGGUCCCCUCUGGUCUACUGCUCGGCAACGUCGUUAGCCGCGACGGCAUACGGCCGAAUCCCUCAAAAGUAAAAGUAGUGCUCGAUAUGCGACCACCCAAGAAUGUCAAGGACAUUCAAAAGCUCACCUGAUGUAUGGCUGCUCUCAGCCGUUUUAUCUCUAGACUGGGAGAAAAAGGCCUCCCCUUCUUCAAGCUCCUAAAGGCAUUAGAAAAAUUCUCCUAGACAGAGGAAGCUGACGCUGCGUUCACCCAGCUCAAAACCUUUCUCACUUCGCCACCCAUUCUCACAACGCCUCAACCCAAUGAGGACCUACUCCUUUACAUAGCAGCAACCGACAGGGUUGUCUCCACGGCAAUGGUGGUCGAGCAGGACGAGCCAGGCCAUGUAUACAAAGUUCAGAGACCAGUUUACUUCAUAAGUGAAGUCUUAAACGAGUCCAAGACCAGGUACCCUCAGAUACAAAAGCUCAUCUACGCCAUCUUAAUAACUUCAAGGAAGCUGAAGCAUUACUUCGAUGGUCAUUGGGUCUUGGUAACCACUAGUUUCCCCCUGGGGGACAUUCUACGCAACAAGGACGCCAAUGGCAGAAUUGUAAAAUGGGCAAUGGAACUAUGCCCAUUCUCCUUGGAUUUCCAGAGCCGCACUACCGUCAAAUCCCAAGCCUUGGUCGAUUUCAUCGCAGAAUGGACGGACCUCAACGAGCCUCCCUUCUCUGAUACUUCCAACCAGUGGUCAAUGUUCUUCGACGGGACCUUAAACAUCAAUGGUGCCGGCGCUGGAAUACUCUUCGUGACACCCAACAAGGACAAACUACGCUACGUCCUUAGGAUUCUCUUUCCGGCAUCAAAUAACGUCGCUGAAUACGAAGCAUGCCUUCACGGCAUUUGACUGGCUGUCGAACUGGGAGUCAAACGCCUCUACGUUCACGGCGACUCUGCCCUAGUCAUUAACCAGCUCAACAAAGAAUGGUACGCAACGCACGAAAAGAUGGACCUCUACUGCAAAGAAAUUUGCAAAUGGGAGUCCAAUUUCUACGGCAUAGAAUACAUCCACGUGGUCCGGGAUAGGAACCAGGCAGCGGAUGCGCUGUCAAAGAUAGGAUCAUCUCGGGCCAAGAUCCCACAAGGCGUUUUCGUUCAGGACAUCCACGUGCCAAGUGUGGGCACAGACCCGGUCGAAAAACAACCCAAUGAGACAAUGAUCAUAGACGACUCCGCUCCGGCAACCAGCAGCCAUGAUUGGCGCGCCCCUUUCAUCAGGUACAUAUCGGACGGAUCCGGUCUCCAAGAUAAAACGGAAAACGAGCGUCUCAUCCGGUGAUCCAAGAACUACAUACUAGUGGAUGGAAAGCUUAUGCGAAAAAAUGUAAGCUCCAAAGUACUGCUCAAAUGCAUAUCCCAAGGUGAUGGCAUC
rnacentral:lncRNA from 1 species